rnacentral:lncRNA from 1 species
GAACCUUUCCCUGAGUGCCUGCCUAGCACUGCUCUCGAGUACUCGUCUUCCACUGCUGCUGUACUUUCAAAGAAGCUACCAUAUCUGCCUGGAGAACAGAUAAGGCAAGUGAAAAUGAUACCUUGCAGCAUGUGGAGACAAGGUGCAGAAGGAACAAGCAGAGAAGAAUGCGUUCUGCACAGUCAACUCAGCAGAAGAAGUCCGAGCUGAAGAACUCGAGAAGCUGCCACAUCUGCCUGAAGAAACAAGCAGAGAAGAAUGCAGCAUGCACAGUCAACUCAGCAGAAAGAGUCUGAGAUAAAGAACUUAAGAAGAUGCCACAUCUGCCUGAGGAACAGAUAAAGCAAGGGAAAAUAAUACAUUGAAGCAUGUGGAGACAAGCACAACAAAGCACGUGCCGAUUCAUCCGCUGCUUCUUCAAAAUCAAAAGUAUCUCAUAUCAUCAGGGUUGCAAUCACUCUGGACGGUGAACUCGUUUUGACCCUGAAAUUCUUGGGUCGACUUACUAGGUGUUGUGGGAUGCACGUGCCGAUUCACCACCCUUGAAUCGAAUCCUUAAAGAUCAAGUCACCAACUGGAAGAAAGCCCCAUCAAUCUUGAAGAUCAUACCGUUGACCAAACUGCUCAGGUGUGAAUUAGAAAGAUUGAACAAAGAAACAGGUUGUCACCUUUACCUCGUGCCUGCUUGCCAUGUGUUCGAGUCAACCUUUAAGAAUCAAGCCUCAACGGCCCUUGAAGAAGUUUCCAACCAAAUUCAAGAUCAAGCCUCGACGGCCCUUGAGGAAAUCACAAGUCCAAUUCAAGAUUAAGUGUCUACCACCAUUGAAUCAAAACCUAGUUCAAGAAUAAGUUGUGGAAAAUCAACAAUUGGAGGAAUCCAGAAAAUCCUCCAACCCAGUUCAAGAUCAAAGCUGUGGAAAGUCAACAAGCGCAACAAAAUAUGUGCCGAUUCACCCACUACCAAAGCCAAAGAUCAUCUACCACAUGAAGCUCCUUGUGGUCCAAUUUCAACCUUCAAGAUCAAGCCUCGACAGCCCUUGAAGAAAUUUCAAACAAAAGUUCAAGAACAAGCCUUAACGGCCCUUGAAGAAAUCUCAAGCCCAAUUCAAGAUCAAGCUUCAAUGGCCCUUGAAGAAAUCUCCAGCCUAAUUCAAGAUCAAGCCUCGACGGCCCUUGGAUUGACAUCUACAGUAAAGGACUUCAAAACGCAUCUCCUACACGUGACAAGCACAUGUAUACGACGCGCCUUGAAGUGGGGGCAUUUGUAGACAUCGAAAUUUCGGUAAAUAAAUGUUGACCGAUAAAUCAAAGUGUCAACGCUCAUGUAUUACAUAAAUUUUACACGUAGCGUGUGACUCAACGAAAAUUGAAAUGAGUUGGAAAAGUCAUCAAAUAGGACACGUGUCAACACCUGGCAGAAACGACUUAUUUCAUCUGGGAUAUUAUAUUCAAAAUUAGGCCUUGGAAAAUUCUAUAAAUACAAGCCCAUUUCAUUCAUUUGAGGGGGAACCAAAAUCAUUAGGCAAAAUUCUUAAAGCUCUGAAGUUCUGAAACUCUAAAACUCCGAAGCUCUCAAGCAUCCAGGUUCCCGAAGAAUCAAGAAAUCUCUCUUCGUUCUUCGUUCAUCGUUCUUCGUUCAUCGUUCUUCCAAGAUCAAGCCCCAACGGCCCUUUGGAUCAACAAUCAUCCACCACUUCAAGAUCAAGCCCCAACGGCCCUUGAAGAAAGUGUUCUUCGUUCUUCGUUCUUCGUUCAUCGUUCUUCCAAGAUCAAGCCCCAACGGCCCUUGAAGAACUUCCACCAAUUCAAGAUCAAGCCCCGACAGCCCUUGAAGAAAGUAUUCAUCGUUCAUCAUCCGUUCAUCCAAGAUCAAGCCCCAACAGCCCUUUGGAUCAACAAACGUCGACAAAUCCACACAUCCAACCGUUCUUCAAGAUUAAGCCCAAAAGCCCUUGAAGAUCCGUUCAUCACUGUUCUUCAAGAUCAAGCCCAAAAGCCCUUGAAGACCCGUUCAUCAUCGUUAUUCAAGAUCAAGCAUUAACGGCCCUUGAAGAAAUACUCAUCAAACCCCAACGGCUUAUUGAAGAUCCGCUCAAAUCCACCUUCAAAGAUCAAGCCCACGGCCCCUUGAAAGAAACUUCCAAUAGUUCAUCCAAGAUCAAGCCUCGACAGCCCUUGGAUCAACGAAACAUCCACAAAUCAACGCCUUACGGAGAUCGAAUCAGAGGAUCAAAAUUGAGAGAGAUUGUAACCCAAAAUCAUCAAAUACAUAAUAUUUGUUUGUGCACGUUGUUCUUGUCUCUUUCGUUUCAGGAAUUUUCCGUGUUUACAGUCAUUUACGCUUUAUUCUUCUUACUGAAUUUCAUUUUUAAAAUUUUAUUUUUUGAAAACAUGAUCAUCUGGCGGAUGUAAGAAGAUGAUAUCAUGUUUCUAUAUUUACGGUUAACUGAAAUAUGAGUCAAUGUCAUAUAAUUUGUAGAAACUUUAUAAACAUCAAGCAAUAUUUUCACUAACCGUAAAACUCUAAAUAUAAUAUCAACGAUCCAAACCGUUCAUCUACCUACACCCUCUAAUAGAUCAUGUUUUCAAAAAUGAAAAUCUAAAAAAACGAAAUUUGAUAAGAACAAUGAAGCAUAAAUGUAAACAACAAUCAACGGUUAAAUUUUGAUCUAUGAAUUAUAUGAUUAUAGUAGCGAAUUUCGAAGUUAAGCUCUUCAUAAAAGUUAUAAAGCUUAUCAUUAAGAGUGUUUAUAUAUUUUUUUCUAUAUUUUUUUACACUUCUACAUUAAUUAAAAAACUAUUAAAGACUUUAGGUAAGCGAAAAUAUACUUCAAACAAAAUUGUGUUUUUAUGUUUUGGAUGUGAUAAUAUGGAAUGUAUAUACUUAUUUAGUAUUAUGUUUUUCAUUUGAUUAUUUAUUGGUUUAAAAUAUAUUUUUCUUAACGGGUAACGGGUCAGGUCAUAUUACCUGUUAAUAUUAUCGGGUCGAUUUCGGGUCGGGUCAUUUUACCCGUUUAUUUUAACGGGUGUUACACGACACGACCCGUUAAGAUAUCAGAUAUGACACGAAAACGACACGAACACGGAAAACACGAUACGAAUGCCAAGUCUAAUAUAUAUAUAUAUAUGUAUAUGUAUAUGCUUAUAUCUUAAUUAUGGGAAAAUUUUACAUGUUUUACAGCAAGGGGUUAGUAUGUUGAUAAAUGAAAUGGUUUUGUAAAACAUUUGUUUUUGCCCACUCACGUUUUCUAUUUUGCGCCCCUUUAGGUUUUAAGUAAGCUUGUUGUUGGUGGCUUGAGGAUGUUGGCAGUUCUGACUUAUCUAAAUAAUAGUAGGACAUUUCUGGUACUGUAUAACUAGUACUUGUCCUACUGGACUACACCUAAACUUUAUGCUCUGAUUAGGAGUGUUCACUGUUGUAACUAACACUAUCACUUUCUGUUUAGUAGUACACUCUAGUAAUUUGGUUUUUAAUUAUUCGUAUAUUUCUUAUCUUUAUUGCUUCAGCACUACGCACAUGGCUACGUCACUCUCACGUGACGUCCAGCAUGCCUUGAUCUCGGUCGGGGUGUGUCAGUGAAUGUUCAUGCUAUCAGGGUUGCAAAAAUAUCAAGAUAAAAACCUUUGUUUUGGAAGAACCUGAUUACGUGAUGAUAUAGAUGAACUGGUUUGUUGCAAAAAAAGCUUCAUUGUUAGAUUCUUAAGUGCAGCAGUAAGAGCGUGUUGUAGCUUAUUUUAUCUCACUACAGGGUAUGGGCAAUGGCAGGGAGAGACGUGUUUGUAGAAUCAUAGGGGAAUGUGUGUUGAGAAUGUGUUAUCUCCCUACGCAGUGCUUUUAUUUAUAGUAAUAAGAGGAAGAAUAAUUCCUUCAUCCCUAAGUAAUACAAAUCCAUAUAGGAAAGAAUAACUAAAAUAAAAUCUAAUCUAGGAUUUACACAAUCACACUUAAAUUAGGAAAGUUUAUAACACCAUCUAAAUUCUAAUAAUUAAUUAUACUUUUUUUUUAAACUAAUUAAAAGGGUUUGAAAAUUUUGAGUUUUAACGAUAUAAAGUGAAUAGUACCAAGAUUAAUUUUUUAGUGUAAAAAUGUGGUUUUUCGUUAAAGUGAACAGUACUAGAAACUUUUCUUUAAAGUUCCUUUUUUUUUUUUUUUUGAUUUUUUUGAUUGGAAAAAUAAAAAAAAUAAAAAAGGUGGAGGAGGGUGCAUCAUGCAGUGGCACGUGACUUCACACGAACGUCUUCCAGGAACUCAGGAAUUAAGCAUACAGACAAUCGCCGAAAGGUCUUCAAUUUGGGGUCACAUGAGUUAACUACGUCCGUCCGAUCAACAUACUUUUCUUGUUCCAACAAUCCAGCCGUAAAUAAUUAAACGCCACCAUAGCAUCGUACACCUGAAGCAACACCGUAAUAUAUCUCCUCUUGGCGAGCCGGAAGAGCAAGUGUCUUUGUUCUUCGCUGGAAAUAUUUUUCUAUUCAUUUUCUUUUCCGAAUUCCGAUUAUCCAAACGGGAGCGAGGAAGAAGAAUCCGUCGGACAAAAUCUCACUGACCGGAGCAUCCAAUCCAAAUGGCGGUUUCCGUGACGGCGUCCACGAUUCCUUCUCUCAGCUCUGACCGUACGACUCGCUUAGCUGCGGCGGCGGCCUCAUCCUCCUCCUCUUCUUCUUGUUCAAAGCUGUCUUCCUCUACUUCUCUGCGAUUUCCGGCGCAGCUUCGACGUGUUCGGAUCGGAACUCAGGACUCACGGCCUCGGCUUCUUCCUCCGGUAAUGAAUUUUCCGUUUUUGUAGUUUCGUAGUCUGUUUGUUUCCCGAGAAAAUCGAGGAAUUUAACCUGAUGAAAUUGUGUAGCGUUAAAAUUCCUGUUCUAAAAUUUCUGUGUUUUGUAGUGGAAGAGAUUGCAAAAUUUAAAUUUAGGAAGCAAAGCAUACAACUGCAAAUCUUGUUGUUAUCAUAUUUAUGGCCCAAACACCAAUUGCUUUGUAUUUCUUUGGUCCUUGCCGUUUCCUAUGAGUUGUGAGAAAAUCACAUGGGUCGGUUUUCGGAGUUUCCAAAUUUUAGUCUUUUCAAGAGAAUAAAGACAUUUAAUCGAAAAGUGCAGGAAAAGUAAACUCAGAGGAUGGUUUGCAAGACAUAGAUUUAGCAUGCUACAGGAGGCAUGUGGAAUAUAGAGCUUAAGGACAUGGAACUCACUAUUGAUUGUCUUUGAAAUGGUUUUGUACUUGAUUUUGGCGCACGCAGUUGAUUUUUUAGACUAUCGGUAAACUAAUUUGGAAUCAAACCUCUCUCAAACAAUUAGAAUGCACAAUGUCACCGAUAUAGGAUAUUAGGUUGCAUCAGUUUGAUCUUCCCCCAUUUUCCAGGUAAAGUACCUUUUCAUGAUAACCGUUUGGGGCAUAAAGUUGGGAAGGGACAACCUAGAACCAAAAUUAUUGAAUGGGAUGAAAGGUGUAGAUUGUAAAACUUGGAUAGUAUAUCUUGUAACGAUUUGAAUGAUAGAGACAGUGAGCAAAUCCAUAUUCGGGGCCUUCAUGCAUGGACUCGAGUGUUCUUUAAUCAUCUAAUCAGAAGCCGAUUGUUUAUACCAGUCAAUCGACGGUCCUCCUAUCACUACUGGCUUUGCCUCAAGUUACAAGUGAAGUUUCAAUUCAGGAUGAUGACCUAUCAUGUUGAAGAUCAACACCAGCCCAAUUGGUGUUUGGAUUCUAGAAGAUUCUAGCAGCAAGUCUAGAGGGCAGAGCUUCCUGAAGACUUGCACUUUGUCCAGGUGCAAUGGAACUAGAUUUUUCUAUAGAAUUAUCUAAAGCUAAGUAGUCUUUUGUAGAAAGGAUUAGAAGGAUGUUUCUUAUGUCGGUGGAAGGCUGUGUGCAUGAUCAAUGCACUAGAAAGUUCUAGUGAUAGUAUAAGUCGGCAAACAUGCCUUAUAAAUAUGUAUGUAUGAGUGUUGUAAUGUAACCAAGAAGAAGUAAGAGAGCAAACCAAGAGAGAGCUAAGUAAGAGAGUGAGAAGCCUUGUAAGUGAGUAGUCUUGUAAAGAGUGUGAGUGGUCUAGAGUUUGUCUCUAGAAGUGAGAGAGUGUCAUACGUUCUAAAUUGUGUCCUUGAUAGUUGUUGUGUUGUAAUAUUCUGUGAGUUAAUACAAGUAAUUUGUUUACUUGUUUUGUCUCUCCAACACUUGUGUUAGAGCUGUGUAUUCUAGUUUUUCCUCAACAUAUCACUUAGGUGGUUAUCCAUAUGGACCAUGUUGUGACAGUUUCAAUAGCUGCGUGUACUCUUUCUUUGCUGUCUUUGGAAUAUUUAGCCUGUAUAGCUGAAUUACGAAGUGUGACUGAAUUGGUGAUUCAGUAAUUACAUGUAUAUGUGGAAAAAAAAUUACUUUUCGUAGGUUGAAGCAAAGAAGCAAACAUUUUCAUCCUUCCAAGAUUUGCUGGCUACCUCUGAAAAACCUGUGUUGGUUGACUUCUAUGCAACCUGGUAAGCUUUUCUUGUGUAUCUCACUUCUUAUUUUGUUUGCAAUUUGUCAUUAUUGUUGUAUUGUCAGCUAAACUUUAAUUCCUAAACAAGGUGGUAGCUAUUCACCUUUUAGGUUUUCCCUCUCUAUAUAAAGGUAAGAAUAGACAAUUAAGUAAUAAACUCUGGUUGACAGGUGUGGACCUUGUCAAUUUAUGGCACCCAUCCUCAAUGAAGUCAGUAUUACGCUGAAUGACAAGAUCCAGGUUGUGAAAAUUGACACAGAGAAGUAUCCUAGCAUUGCUGAUAAAUAUAACAUACAAGCAUUGCCUACUUUCAUCAUAUUUAAGGAUGGAGAGCCAUUUGACCGCUUUGUAAGUUGAAUUUGUUCUCUUUUUUCCUUUGGGAGAUUAAUAUGUUUGCCUUUGGUAGACGAUCAAAUGUCUAGAAAUGUGUAAUCUGUCACAUAACAUCUCAUACUGAUUGCAUGCUUUUUAUACGGCCAGAAUAUGGACGGGUAUUGUCAAGUUGUUACGAUUUGCUGUUAAUUCCACUUUUUAGAUUUUGUAAGAUAUCCUAUGCACUUGCAUUGGUUUACAAUUUCGUCAGGUGUGUUGCUUUGCAUGCUUUUCUUCUUCUUUUGCUUAGUUUUGAUUCGAAGAUGUUGAAUUUUAAGGAUUUAUGUUCUCUUAGAUCCAAAAUAUUAAAUAGAAUAAAUAAUGUAUGUUCUCCGUGCAUGUAUGCAAGGCACUGUUAGAUUAGUUUUGGCGGUUUUUCUUUUUGGUUUUUUGGUCGAUUUUAAAUAUCUAUGAUGACUUUGCUUUCAUUACUUGCAGGAGGGUGCUAUGACUGCUGAUCAGCUUGUCGAACGAAUAGAAACUACUUUGAAAGUUAAGUAGGAGACAGGUGAGCUCUAUAAUAUUCGUGAGUUGAGAGCACUCGUAUCGUCCGCUGUUCUUUCUCUGCUUCCUCCUCCCCAUUUCCUAACCUUUCCUUUUUCUUCACUCUUCAUUUAUUGGUCCAGCUUCUCAGGUUGAACCGAGAAGCUGAUCGAUUCAGCCGCAUUGCAAGAAAAAUGGAUUUUAUGAAGAAAGGCACUGGAUGUUUCCUCUGCUUUUUUAUUUUUUGUAUGUAACUGGUUUGUACCAACAAAAAAGUUACGAGACUUGGCGUAAUCGCACGGGUAAAGCUUAGUGAAAACAAUUUUACGAUGUCAGUUUCUGUUGUGAUAUACACAUCCACAUCAGUUGCAUUUGAUUGAAAUUCAUGAUUUGGAAAAGUUAAUGAAAUUUUGUGGACAUUCAUUUCAUUUGCAAUGCAACUUAGACCUUAUUGGCAAUUGGUUUGUGGACACAAGAUUUACUACUUAAUUUGGAUACCUUGUCAAAUUAGAGUCAAUAAUUAACAAUGGCAUAUCUAGUAAGAAGUUAUUUCUGCAUGCCUCCCUUCCCAUUUCCUACGGCUGUUUAGCUUGCAAGCACACAAAUCAUUUGUAAUAAAGAUAUGCAAAUACGAGAUCAAAUUCAUCGAGAUUGAAUGAACAAUAAUUUGGUAUCUUAUGUUUAGCUGCGGACAUGACUGACCUCAGGAGGUCUCAAUGGAAAAAAUUUCAGAAAAAAUGUAGACAAAAGUAACAUUGAGGAAUUAAAUGAUAAUUCUUUUCAUUCGUAAAUAAUAGUGUAAACAAUGUUAUUACAAUCUACAAAGUCCAAAAUUAUCAUCGACGAGUUUUCAUAUUUUGAAAAUGUUUAUGAUAGUUUCAUACUCAACGAUCAAUCCACAACUCUAAUAACUGAAAUUUGAGAAUAAUGAGUACAAAUAGUGAACUUGAUACACUAGGAAGCUUAAGGAGGUCCCAGAAAGUCCAUAUUCGGGGCCUUCAUGCAUGGACUCGAGUGUUUCUUAAUCAUCUAAUCAGAAGCCGAUUGUUUAUACCAGUCAAUCGACGUCCCAGAAAGUCCGCUCUUCUGCUUCGACGUUGCUGAACCCGCUCUACCAUGGAGACGGCUCCCUCCUCGUCUUCCUACCCAUGGCACGGGUUUAGUCCUCCUUGAUGGUCAGCUAAUGUUCACCUAAGCUUUCGCACUUAGUAAACAAGCCUUCACUAGUUGCCUGGAACAUAACUACUAUUACUAUGAUGAUUAUUACGCCGACCACCACGGCGUUUAUAAUGCUUCUGGUUCUAAUUGGGGUGUAGUAGCCUGUCAACUGUCCAGUACCGAUUCCGAUGACUUCGGAACUUGGAUUAAGCCCAUCCAAAUUCUGGAGCCAAGGUUGCCGAGUGAAUUUUGGGGGCGAUGCACACUUAUAGCUUUGCUCAUCUAGGAGGUUCAAAAGUAUGCUUUGUUCUUUCCAAUCCCAUCUCGCACCCAAAAAAAAUUUGUCUUUGGAAGGUGCGUCUUCUUGUUCAAACUUUUGAGUUUUCCUUCUCCAAACAAAGUACCACCCUCACUAGUGCUGCUUUAUUUUAUUGUUUUUUAUUUUUUGUUUUUUUUGGAAAACCUUAAUGGUAUAAGGGUAAUUUUAUUGAUAACAAAAAAAUAAGUUACACCUAGACAGAAGGGGACAUAAACCUUACCCCUCAUAAAACAGAGACAAUAAAUAGGAAUACACGAAAAAGAAGGGGGAACAUAAACCUUACCCUUCUAGAAAUAAAAAACGAGAAUGAUACAAAGAAAAGAGGGGGGGGACAUGAAACAUAAUCCCUCUAAAACCAAACCUAAAGGUCUAAACUUGCAAAACAAGUCAAACAACCCCAUAAAGUUAGGAGAAAAAAAAAAGUGAGACAAACCUGGAUGCCGACAUGCACAUUAAUUUGAGAAGCAAUAACCAGGCAAGCCAACAUAGUCUGAAAACAAAGCAGCACAAACCGCCAUCGGAGGAGAAUCAUGCCAAGUUAAAGAUGGAGAAGACAAUCCCAUGUUAGCAAAAUUGUCUGCAACAAGAUUUACUUCACGAUGUACAUGAGAUACAUAGAAAGUCAUUUUCCGAAUACGAUCUAAACAAAUAGACCAUUGCGUAUGAAGAGGCCAAGGAGGAUCAAAAUUAGACGAUUGAAGAGCAUAAAUAACACUAGAACUAUUACUUUCAAACCAAAGACAAUGCCAACCCUAUUGAUAUGCAAACUCAAUACUAAUAAUAAUUGCUAAUAACUCUGCAAAAAAAAAAAAAAAAGUUGCGAUGACCAAUGCAUUGACAGAAACCUCCAAGAAAACAACCAUGACAAUUCCUGAAAAAUCCUCCACAUGUAGCAGGAUCAGAAUUUCCUUUAGACAAACCAUCUGUAUUAAGCUUAAACCAAGGAAACCAAAGGACAGGAAGAAUAGUAGGUGCCUUGCGAGGGAUAGGUUGGAUCCCCAAAGAAGAAAUGAUCCGAGUGUCAAAACCUUGAGAAUAACCAGAAAUAAACUUCCCACCAUGAACAAUCGCCGAAUUGAUAGAAAUGCAAAAGACGAUGAAAAUAGAUUGGACGACCCUAAAAAAUAAAUUUAUUUUGAGCCUUCUAAAUAGCUGAAAUAGUAGAAAGACCCGCAAAAAUCCAUAGAUUGUGCAACUGUUUGGAAAAUGGCUUACAGACAUAGACAUCCCAAAAAACAACCAAAGAAUCUGAAAGAGGCAAAAAUGUACCAAAUUAACAUACUAACCACCUCCAAAGUUGCCUAGAUAUCUGACAUCCAAUGCUGCCGAUGAUGGUGAUGAUUAUAAUUAUAAUGAUGGAGGCUGCGAUUCAAAAAGAUCAUUCGAUUUCUCCUCUUUCAAAGCCGACAUCCUCUCCACUCGCAACUUUGAAUACGAUUGGUGCGGAGAAUCUUUUGAGACUGCUCACGCAGCCGUGCUUGGUUGCUUUGCCCUGUAAGUUUCGUCGGUAAGGUUAACUUUCCAAUUCUAUCCCAUUUUCUGUAUUUGCUUUCUCCUGCGUGCGGCCUUAACUUGUAACUGUACUACGUAGGAAAGCAUUAGUCAAUGUAUUUCCUGUGCACACACUAUCACUUGAGGAACAAGUUCGACUGCAUUGUUUGCGAUUUAAGUCAAUCUAGACCCUGCAUUGCAACUCGCAUUGGGUCUUACUGGAACUACUUACAGCGAGCAUGCAAAACCCCCUGCGUGUUGAUUGAGGUUCUGAGGGGGAACACUCCAUCAAGCACGUUGAAGAUAUGGUCUGUAGCAGCAUUGCUUGGAAAUUGGAAAUUGGAGAUCUGCCUAGCUAGCUACUAUUUCUGUGUCUAGCUCCUCAUGUAGUUUUCUGUUAGGUAAUUUUUUUUUUUUUUUAAAUGGAAGAACAGGCAUUUUAUUAAAUAAAAAAAAAUAUUUAGUCAUAUUUUUAGGCUUAUUAUAUUUAUACCCUACAUAUUGUUGAAUAAACCUUAUAUACUUAAUACACCUCAUAUUUACUUUUUCAAUUAAAAUUUAUCUUAAUACACCCCAUUUACUUUCCCAUAUUACCCUCCCACCCCCAUUCUCAACAUACACCUUACAUUUUCUAUAUACACCCCAAAUUUUUUAUAACUCAGUCACAAUCAAGAUUGGAGGAAGAUAAGGCUGCUGAGACUUUGUUGAAGGUGGCAGACGAGGUUAUACGCUGAGGUUUAAUGACAAAAAUUCGAGGGUAAAAGCAGCAAGGGAAAGGAGAACAAUUAGAGGGUCUCUUGUAAUGUGAAUGGCACUAGGACUUUGCCCAGAUUGGCAAAAACGUAGCUGAAUGUUGAUGUAGUUUUAUUGCAUUUUCAGAUGUAUGAAAAAAAAAAACAUAUUUAUUUAUUGGUGUUGAAUUGCAGAACAAAGAUUGUGUUUAGCCAUUUUAUUACUAUUAUCAUUUCUUUAAAUUGGGGUUAUGCCGUGAGAUGAUAUACAUAAGGAAAUAUUGUUAAUUUCUUCGCACUCCAUUCAAGUUCUAACCUUGUAGUUUCAUCAUUUUGCUUGCCUUUGCUGGGAAGACAAAAAAAAUAGAUAAAUAAUACGUUAAAAGUGAUUUGAGGUUUAUUCAGAAUUUUUUUAUAUUUUUAAAAAACUAAUAAGGUCAAAAUUGACAUUGUAUAGAGUGUAUAAGUUAUUUAAUAUCGAAUUUGAAUGUGAGGUGUAUUUAUCAGUACGGAUGUGUACAUCUUUUAUUGGCACGGAAGUACUUAUCGAUUAUGCAUUGAAUUUUUUAGUAAUUUAAUUCAAAAUGUGAAGUAGCUUUUGUAAAGUUACCGAAAGCGCCGUGACGGAGAUGAAGAUGGAAAUGGUGUAAAACUUUUGACGAGUUGAACCGAAAGCGCCGUGACGGAGAUGGAGGUGGAGAUGGAGAUGAGGGCCGGGGAAGAAAUAGAGAUAGGACAAGACAUAACGCCACCGCUCCCUCCGCUUUCUUCCUCUCUCCACCACUCCCUCCUCUCAUCUCACUGCUCUUCCUGCUUCUCCCCUCUCCCUCCCCAACCCUUCCCUCCCCUCUUUACUCCUACCUUUCCCAACACUCCCUCCUCCUACUACUGCUCCUCCCUCUGCUCCUCCGCCGAUUCUCCCCUCCACGUCUCCAGCGCCGAGCCCUACCUUCUCCUGCUUCUCCAAUCCCACCCCUCCGCCUACCCCAACGGCGACUCCUCCGACCUCCGCGCCGCCCUCCGCCUCCUCCAAUCCCUUCCCGCCACCUCCCCCUACCCUCGCGUAGCCGGCCUCCUGACGAAUCGCCACAAACUCCUCCACCACCACGACCAUAGGGUUCGCGACGGCGCCAGAGCCAUGUUCCUCGCCAGGAAGAUGCGGGAUGAAUCUCCGAAUUUCUCUAUCGAUGCGACUAUUGCCAACGUUGCUCCGCACGACGCCGUAUUGGAGGAGGCCGUGCUGUCAUUGGUGCUAACGAACGCCGUGGAGGUGCAGGAUAAGACCGGGCGCACCCUUGGAAUUUCCGUCUACGGUCCCAGCUUCUGCUGGAUCAACCACAGCUGCUCCCCGAAUGCUUGCUACCGCUUUUCUUUGAUGACACCGCCAACGCCACCUUGUUGGCCCGAAACGGCGCUGCUGCGCAUUGUCCCCUUCGGCCGCUCCUCCGGUCGUGCCACACAAGUAAUCCCUGCAAAUUUGCACCGUUUGUUUAAUUUAUAGUGGAAUAAGAUUGAAAUUCAGGGUUGUGAGAUGGAUAUUUGUUGCAGAUUGAGAAUGGUGUUUGUAGCAAUAAUGUGUUAGCAAAAGGUGUUGUGGUUUUUUUAAGUUUUCGUGCUUCUUUUCGGUUUUUGUUUGUUUGAAUUAGUACACCAAAUUUACCAGUAUUAUUGAACCAUUCGUGUAUAUUACGAAUGUAGAAAGCCGAGGUUAUGGUCCAAGAGUGACGGUUAGGAGCAUCAAGAGAAUCAAGAAAGGCGAAGAAGUGACUGUUACUUACACUGAUUUGUUGCAGCCUAAGGUAUCUGCAUUUUAUCUAUAUACACAUUAUACAUGGAUCAGCGAUUGGAAUUUUGAAUUCAUAUAAUCCACAUCUGUUUUGUCAAGUUAACUGAGCGAUGUUUCGAUGACUGUGAGAUGAGAAUUUGCUAGUGUCAUUUUCUGCUUAUUGUCCCUGUCUUAGGAAACUAAACUUGAUGAGACAAUGCAAGGCAAUCCGACUUCUUUCCACUUUAGGGAUUAGCUAAAUCUUGCCCCAUUUGACUUUUCUUUUACUUAUUUCCAAUUUUAAUUGUGUUGAUGUUAUAUUUUAAUCCCUUUCUUUUAACGUCACAUUUUCUUUUCUUCUCAUGAGCUCCUCCAGGCAAUGAGGCAGUCAGAGCUAUGGUCAAGGUAUCGGUUUAUCUGCUCUUGUACGCGAUGUAGUGCAUCACCCCUAACCUACGUGGAUCAAGCUUUGGAGGUGGCAAUUCAUGAAAACUUUUUCUUUCUUUCUUGAUAUUCUCAAUUAAAUACUAAUUCUUAAGUCUAUUUGGAGUUCUUCCGUAAUAUCUUUAUACUAUUGAUUUUACAGAAAUUAUAAAUGCACUAGGAUAUUUGUACUUCUAGAUUCUUGUUUUUGUAUCCCCCCCUGUAUAUAGUUUGGCCUUCACUUUGAACAAAAGCUCUUUUUCAACUUGAACAUGAAUUACCUCCUAACCAUUUUUCUUCCUCUCUGGCAGUCAACUUUAUUUCCUAGGAUGUAGCUAAUGUUCUUAUUGGUGUUUUUUGAAUAAUCAUUAACCUUCGGUUUCAAAACUCCAGGAAAUAUUUGCAGUCAAUUCCAACUCCUCCAGUUUGAGUUUAGAAAUAAACUUCAAUAGAGAUAAGGCAACGCAAUUGUUGAGUGUUUACUUUGAUGAUGCUAUUGACGACUACCUGUCGAGUGGCGAUCCUGAAUCUUCUUGUGAGAGGCUUGAGCAUGCGUUCACACAAGGACUCUCUGAUAUGCAAUUAGAUUGCAACGGAGAAACAUCUCAGCUGAGAUACUGGUUGCACCCAUUAAAUUACCUCUCCCUAAAUGCCUACACAACAUUGGCUUCAGCGUAUAAAAUCCGUGCAACUGACAUGAUAGCUUUAUGUUCUAAAAUGGAUGAUCAUCUGUUAAAAGCUUUGAACUUAAGCAGGACUAGUGCAGCAUACUCCUUACUACUUGCUGGUGCAACUCACCAUCUGUUCCGCUCUGAAUCGUCUCUAAUUGUAUCUGUUGCAAAUUUCUGGACAAGCGCAGGGGAGUCAUUGUUAACUCUUGCUAAAAGCUCAGUCUGGAGUGAGUUUGUCCACCGGGAUCUGCCUGUGUCAAAUCCAUGUUCCACUGCAAGUUAUAGAUGUCCAAAAUGCUCAUUGAUAGACAAAUUUGAAGCUUGUUUAUUCUAUGGUCAAGUUCAACAUGCAGAUUUUGACGAUGUCUCAAGUGAAUUCAUUGAUUGCGUCUCUAACUUUACACAGAAUGUUUGGAAUAUUUUGGCUCUCAGUUGCCAGUACCUUAGAUUGAUUAAGAGUCCUAUUGAUUUCAGUUGGCUUGGUACCACAAAAGAUUCCAGUGUAGGGGAAGUUCUGAUUCGGUCUAGUGGCACUAAAGCGGGUUCUUGUGGGACUGAGAGAAGCAUUUCUGGAAGUGAAGCAGAGGGAUACACAGCCCAGGUACGGAUAUGUAUUUUUAAGCUCGGUGUCCAUUGCUUACUAUAUGGAGGAUAUCUAGCGAGCAUAUGUUAUGGUAAUUCCCAUUUGACCUGUUAUGUUCGUAAUAUUUUAGAUAUGGAAGGGAUAUUAUUGAAUCCUUGUCAUGAACCAAAUUGAGUUUGAGAUCUUAGAAGUUAAAUUAUUCCUGUUUUGGUGUUAAUUGCUGUGUUAUUAUACUCGUUAAGAAUCUGUUAAAAAUGUUGGUUGCAUAUAUCGUCUUCUCUGCUUGUGAUUUUUCGCCUCGAACUCUAUUCGUCUUGCAUGAUGCCCCAAGGAAUCAGCCACACGUAUCAGAAGUUUGUGUCAACGGAUUCAAUUUGAUAGACUACAGUGGGUUUCAAAAUAGAAUAAUCCGCUAUAGCUGUUUCAUAUAUCAUUUCGGUUCAGUCAAAUUAAAGAACCAAAAUUGAAAUCACAAUUGGAUUCGAUUUGGAAACAUCUGAAAUACAAAAUUGAAACCACAAUCGAAUUAAAGAACAAAAAUUGUCAUCUCCUGAUGCAUCCCUGUUUCUAUUUGUGUUCGUGUUUGUGUCAAAAAUACAUCGUAAGAAUGUUAUAACAGUUGCAUACUUAAAGCGACGCCCUACUGAAUGUUACAAUAGAUGCAUACAAGACCGUCGCUAAUGUCAAUGUUUCUUCUUUUUGUUGGACUUUGAGUUGGAGCCAUGCUCAUUUUUAUGUCGCUUUUCCCCACUCUUGUGACUCUCUCUCUGUUUUCCUUUAUCCAUUUUGUUUCUACUUGAUUUCACGCUAACGAGACCACCAGCAGGUAGGUUUGCACCGCCAUUCUGUAAUGCAUUCUCAAAGUCUGCAUCUCUGUCCCCAAUCGCGUACUGUUGAAGCAACUUGGGAUCUAAUGACCCCUCCGAGUUGGAUCUCAUCCCAUCCUGUAUGUGCGUAGUCAAGUCAGCCCAACUCUUGGGAUUCAGAACGCGGGAAAGAGAGGCAGUUCAGGUAACACGAAGGUAAGGAAGGAAUAAAGCGUACCUCAACUUUUCUUGCAGCAUCAUUGAGAUCAUCAUCAACAGAGAUCUUGUGAGGUUCCAAGAGAGUCUGAACCAAAAUUUCCGAAUCAGAGUGGAGUUACAACAUAGGCAGAAGAAAAGCACAGUAGCAUACAUACACGCACGCACGCACAAUUAUAAUGUGAUAGACGAUGUUUAAGCUUGCAUUAAGAAACACAAUAAUGUAAACUUAGCGAUUACAUAUCAAACAAAAUAGUUCAGGUACCAAAGUGGCUCACGCGCAACACACAUGUCAAUAUCAUAUAGUUAAGCCAACUAGAAUCAUAAUGCAUCCUACGACAUGAAAUUAUUAGAAAGAGAUGGAAACCACCAACAUAUCAUGUACUUUCCAUAAGAAAAAAAAGGGUUACUGCUUUGCUGAACUUACUUCUUUUGGUUUAGGCAAGGUUGACACAAGGCCCUCAGAUGCAAUAGCGUAUAGAUAUUUGUGAAACUUUUUCAUAACUUUUAUAAACAGAGACAAUAUUUGCUGCCUUUCCAGUUUCAUCAACCCCUGGAAAACGUGAAUGUAAGUAAAAAUCUACACCUGAUAAGAAUGAAAUAAAGAGCAGAAAUGACGCCACCAAGUAGAGUGUUUUGUCUUUGCAAGUGGGUUUGAUUGCGUGCUCGCAUUGCAUCUAUGUGACUGGUAUAGCCAAGCAAACCAUAUGAGUAACAAGUAGAGAAACAAACCUCAAUAUAGGAGAUAUCUUGAUUCUGUAAGCCAAUGCAGAGCAAUAUGGAAGCCUGGGCACCUGUCAAUGUCACUGGAAGUUUCUCUUGGAAAUACAGAUGUGAAAGCGUUGGAACAAGAUCCAAAAUCUGUAAAAUAAAAGCAUAACUUUAACAUGUGUAAAGUUAUAAACAAACGAUAACUAGAGUACAAGAGGACCUCAGUUUAGAAAAUGACACUUAAUUUCAAAUUCAAAUGGACCCCAGGGUUUAAACUGUAAUUUUAAAAACAAUUCGCAGGUAAUUUGAAGAAAGUAAGGUCUGUUGGUUAAGGAUGAAAAUGCAAUAAGCCCUCGGAUCCCUCCUCCCCACUAUCAUCUAUGCCUAACAGGAGGAAGAACAUCUUGACACAUUCAAACUGGCAGCCUUUCCCAAAAAACAGAAGGAAGCAGAUAAUCCACUCAAACCAUAAUCAACAAAAAUGGACGACAUGCCAUUGACCAGGAUGCACUGCACCUUCCUGAGAACCGCACAACAAAUGGGUUCACCUCCCUCAGGGGCAUACCCACAAGGGGGUGGGAUUGGGUGGGAGGGGAAGAGAAGGGGUCUAAUAGCCUAAUCGCUGUUGAUUUCAUCUUUUUAUGUAACACAGAGCACGGGAUGAAACAUCGGCCACAGAAUCCUACACACAAAUUACUUGUAAAGUACACAAAUUCCCCUUCUCAAACAAGCAAUUUUGAACUUUUAAUGUGUAACUGAACAUAUAUAUACAUAUAAUUAGAUCAAUAACUAAACACAAUGUCCUAAUAGUUCACUUUUGAAAAAGAUUAUUCAUAAAACAUUGCAAGAGUAAUAUAUGUUCACAAUCAUGGUAUCAGAUUGUCCACAGUAAGAAAACAAAUAUUUCACCACUGUCAACUAAAAAUUGUAUCACAAUCACAAUCAUAUUGCCACACUGAGACGAUAAUUCUAUCACAAAGGAAUACAAUUUUUCUUUUGUAAUGCAAUAUUACUUUCUUUUUCUAAAGGAAAGCAUAUUUUGUCUUGUAACGCAAAUAUCUUUUUUGAUUCUAAGGGAAGUAUUUCUUGUUCUGUAAUGCAAACAUUACUUCUAUUUUUAAUAUGAAUGUAUGGAAUCAAUUAGUAAUCCUAAGAUAAAAAAAUCCCAAAACACUACAUAGCACUAUGACAGGGCAAGUUGGCAAUCAACCAUUGUUCAGAGAACUUACCAUAUGAAAGUCAGCAAGACUGCUGGUGUAGGCCUCCAGUCGCUUCAUAUCAUAAGGCGAAAGUAAGUCUGUGAUAGACCGUAAGAAUCCAUCUGUGGUAGACGAUUUGGGUUCUCCAUCCUUGUAAUUGAUCUUAGGAUCUAAGAUGCUGGAAAAUUAUUAGUUAGUACGAGCACUUGAACAAUAAGCAUUUAUCAGAAUGGAACUUUUAAUAGUACCUCAUAGCGAGCCUAUAAUCCAUUGUACGAAAACUAUAACCCAAUAGUCUCAAAAAUCUUCUCCUGAAAUCUAGGUAGCCAACAAAUAAUCAAGCUGUGAACUGAAAUACAAAAAAUCUGCACAAAUUUAAAUAGAACAAAGGUUUUCCAAAGAAAAAUGGGCCCACCUAGGUUGAAUGGACGAAAAUCACUGGUUUCAAGUUCAUCAUUCUUCAAAGAUUUGAGGACCAUACACGUAUGCUCCCCGGUCACACCACUCUAUUACAUUGAAAAGAAAAAUGAAAAAUUAUUGUUUAAUCAGUCAUUCAUUCACAAAUGAUAAUAUUCAAAAAAACAGUAAACGGAAAAAAGGAUUCAGUAUGGAGAGGGGAAUCCAUCUUAACUGGAAUAUGUCCAAUAUAGAAUGGAGCAAACUUAUGUUUCCACCAAAACCUGAAAAGGUCCAAGGUAAGCCCAAAGGAGACACCAAUAUAAUGGAGCUUCUCUGGUCGCCUUUCACGAAGAUGAACAAGCAAAUGAGGAAGAUCUGUUCUAGGUUUUAUACUUUCUUCCAGCAAUGAAACCUAUAAAUAAAAUAGACAUAGGUAUCAUUCCGAUAAACAAUAUCAAGGCACAGGCGGCAGGUUGAUUAAUACCAAACAAACAAACCAAUACAUGAUAAUAUACUUUGAUGUCAUUAUGAUUAAAAUUAACACAACAAAUGAUCAUUCACAAAAGUUUGUCAAAUUAUAUUCAAACACAGAAAUUGUUCUACAAUCACCGGAAUGAAGCUUAACCAACUCAAACACUUCGACAGAACAAGAAUUGCAUUACCAGAAACCUAUGAGUUACAAAAUUGCCUCCAAUUGCAAUAAUAAUACAUAGAAUAGUCUCGUAUAAGCAGUUCUCCAACCUAUUAAUUAAAAAUAUUUAUAAAAAAAAAAAAACUAAGCUUGGUGAUUGUAGUUCACCUUCUCAGCAGCUUCUGUGACUCUGAGUGGGGGAGUCUCAACAUCUUCAACGUCCAGUUCAGAAAUAGGAGCAAACUGUCCUUCGUAGUACCUGAGGAGAAAUAAACCCUUAACACCCAUUUUUUCAAAUAUAAAAACAUAAAUGUGAAGCAUCAACUUUUAGAACCAAAGAGAUUCAGUGCAAUUUUCAUGUCAAAACACUUUUAUCUCAAUAAUGAAGUACUUAUGAGUUACAUUGAUACAAGAGCAAUGCAUCCCACAUAUCACACACAUUCCUUAUAUCUGGAUCCCCAACAAUAGCAAUCCAAUGUCACCCACAUAGCACAUGAUACAUACCAGAGGUGUCCCUAGAAUGUCCACAUCAGCCAUUCCUUAUAUCUGUGUCCCCAAAAACAUUUGCAGUAAAAAGUACAUGGACUUAUGAGCACAAAGGGAUAACGGACAUGUAUGGGUUGACUUGAGAGAUAAACCAAGUAAAGUAAGUUCAAGAAAAAAUCUAGGACCAAAUAGGAUACAAGGUCAGAAUCAGUGUGACCCAUCUAAAAAGUUAGGACCCCACAUUAAUUUGUGCAGUCAACAACGAGGAUCCAUCUUUGGAUUAUUAUCCUAAAACGCUCUAUCUUUGGAUUAUAUCCUAAAGUGCUGCUGGUUAAGCUUGUUUCUGGUUUUUCUCUGUUGGAAAUUUCAAUUACUAACGAAAUAUCCAAUCUUCAUUUAAACAUACAGAUUUAAACUCAACUGUUGGCACUGCAGACUCUUGGCCAUUGUUGGGAUUGAAAUAAGCUAGAGUUUCUCAAGAUAAAUGCGGAUGAGGUGGGUUUUAUUUGAGAUAGCGAAUUCCAUGUGUUUGUGGAUUUAUUGCCAAAGCAAUUUGGGAAGAUCCCUGCUGUUUCCUCCAGAUGGAUGGGGUUAUAAUUUCAUUGUAACUUUUCUGAAGUAAGUUUUAGUUGGACUCCUUUUCUUUGCAAUGGACAACUUCUCCUCCUUUCCUUUAGAAAAUGCUUUGCUUUGCUGAAUUUUUCGUAACUCUUAGAAAUGUAACCCAAACUAAGAUGAAAACCCCCAACAUGACCGUAUUUUAAUAUGCUAUCACUUCUAAUCCUCUAUAUCUUUCCACUUGUUUCUCCAACUACCAUCAUAUGACUCGAGAGUUGUAUUGUGAGAAAGUCAUCUGUAUAUCAAAACUGAAAUCAAAUGAUCAUCUCUUCAGCACCCACAUGGUCUAUGUUCUAUAGCUUUCAACCCAAGUGAACUGAAAGCAUGAGACUCACAUUUUGAGUUGCGACUUUAUGUGCCUGAGCCAGGGUGCAUAUGCAUGAUUGCUUUUCAUUCAUUUUAGAAAUCAUUUGAAGCAUUGCUUCAGACAUAUAAUCUUCAAUCUUUUCACCUUUUUUUUUAUGACAAACAGUAGCGUUAGUGGGUUAAAAGUUUAUUUGUUAGGGGGAGGGGAAUCGAUGGGCAUCAAACCCGCACCAGGGUGCAUAUGCAUGAUUGCUUUUCAUUCAAAGUGUAGCAAUAUGGGGCUAAAAGAAUCACUCAGUCAAUCUUUCUCAACACCUUAGGCAUCCACAUACACAUUGGGAUCAUGUAUGUGAUCUACAAAAACGUUUAGGUGGGGAAUAACUCAAAGAGGAGCAUACCUUGUCAAUAGUUCCACUGCUUGUGAUCCAUAUCCAAUCUACAACAACGAAAAAUAAAUUACCAUUUCAACAGAUCCCUGGUUAUAGAUUACCAUUUCAACAAAAUCCUGGUUAUACAUAUUGCUUUGGAAACCAUAAUGAGAGAAUACCUUCAUGGCACUUGGAUGUGUAGCAAUUCGUACAAUCCGAGCACCUGAAAGACUGGGAAAAACUGUGUCCUGAAAUUGCUCACAGAAUUUCCAUGGUAUCUGGUCACCAGAAGGCUGAUGACCAUCACUUAAACUUUUCAUUGCAGAUUCACGAGAGAUCUUUCCCUCAAGGCAGACCUAAGAACAAAAUGAUAGCACAUAAAAUGUUGAGCAUCAAAGAAUUAGUGUUUUAUAGAAGAUGAAGUACGUGUUUAAAGUGUUGUCCUUUAUUGCUAUUUCACAUAAGGUAAAAUUAUAAAUAAAAAAACUAAUAAAAUUUUGGGUAUGCGUUAAAUAACUAAAAGAAAUAAUAGUCCUGAACUAGGGGAAGACAGUCAAACCUGAAUGACACACAAAAUAUCAGGAAGCUGAUUUUUUGACUCAUCAACAGGGCCUGCACGUGCAAAUUAUAAUCAAGUCCAGCCAAAUAGCGGCAAAAAAAGAAAGACCAGUUCUAACGUAACAUAUAUACCAAGUAGCACAAACAGGUGGUGAGCCGGGGCAUCAGCCAUUAGUUGCAAAUCAUUUGGAGAAUUUUUGUAGUGGGAGGCAACAUAUAGAGCCAUCAUCCGCUGCAAGUAUUAGAAUAUGUAAGUUCACUAAUAUGAAAAUGAGAAUCACUAGUCUGACAUUACUUGAACAUGUAAUUACCUGUAAGAACAACUCGCUAUCUUUAUGAUAUGAAAAAAGCGUAUCACAGUUUACGUAGUACAGAUCGCACUCACUGGGUGCAGGUAACCUAGCCGCCAAGAGAGAGAGAAGAGAGAGAGAGAUCAUUAAUAAAGGUAAGGGUUAUAAUGGAGAUGGUUACAUCUUCCUCGGUUCUGACUGUCUAAGCAAAUGUUUUUACCCGUUAAGUUUAGGGAUAUAAUUUGUGAUAUCCAAGCAAAGUAAACCAUGAAGCCAGGAUUCAAUCGGAUCACCAGAAGCAUAUCUGAUAGAUUCUUUCAAUUCUAUCUUUUUGAAAAGACGACCUACAAUCAGGGACAUUUAUCAAUUCAGAAAAUUAUGUCCAAAUAUCACAAAAUAGUUUUUAAAAAAUUAUACAUUGCUCACUUGCAAGCGCCAACAGUUCAAGUAUUUCAGAAACAAUAAUGUUAAGAGAAAGCAGAAGAAACAUUGAAUUUUGAAAAUAAAUUCAAGUUUUGGGGGGAAAGGGGGAUUUUGAUCCAACCUAAUUCAAGAUGAGAAUACAAAACACGGCCAAUAAGGAAUAAGCAUACCAGAUGUAGGCCCCUUAGCAGACACUUGGCUUUGCUCUUCCAAUUGCUGUAGAAGUUUUAGGGACAAAGACCGACCAGUACCUUCAUAGCUUUCAGUGUAAAAUAAAUGUCCUUUAGUAUUUAAAUUGCACUUAGAUUUUUUUUUUUUUACCAAAAGUUGAAUUCAGAGUUGACUUAUAAAUAGAAAGACAUCAAGCAUGAGUCAAGGAAAAGUGGAAACAGCCCAUGAAAAGUGAAAGAUCUUUCAUUCCCCCCCGCGGCCGUAACAGAAAGUGAAAAAGUGAAGUGAAAUAUGUUUCAUGAGACUGUUAAAACCAAAAAAGAACACAUGAUAAGAAUACACGACAUGAAGGAAGAAGAACAUGGAUGAAUCUUACCCAUUAACAGUAGAUGAAAGGAAGACCAGAUAAGGACCAAGCAAAGACUUCACUACUGGUAGUGGAAUAGCAGCUGCUUCAUCAACAACCAACAGUUCAACUUGGGAAAGCUUUUCAUGCUCAUGUGGCCGUAUAUACUGCAAGUACAAGUAACAAAAGUAAAAAACAAAUAGCCCCAAAAGCAAUGAGCAGUACAAAGUUCUUUCUUUUAGGCUACAUGAGGUGUAAAGGUCUAGACCACCUCACAAUCUCACAGGCAUGUUGAGUGCCUCUAUACCAUACAUACUGGAUUAGUGCCAGGAAGACACAUUAGGUUGACCAAAAAGUUUGGCGUUUCAGGAACAUGCUUUUAGAAGCAAGCUUCAGUAAUCACAAACCAUCUAAAUUAUGUUCAAUAUGCUCACACCAAUAACAAAAAUGAUGCACUUGGGCAAAAGUACAAUAGAAUUUUUGGAGUAGUCAAACAAAGACAACCACUAAUCAUAUAUGAGGGCAUACGACAUUUGAUGGGCAAAAGGUGAACACACUCAUGGCUAUUGUGAUGCGGCUAUCCAAUAGAAGAAUAUUCUCUAUUACAACUUGGUUAUCAACUUUUCAUGAGUAACAAUUCCUCCAUGUAUUUGUAUUUUGGUAUCAACUGACUAAACAAAAUCUUUAUUGCUAUUUUUUUAUAGAAAACGAGAUUUUAUUAAACAGCUAAAAAACAAUACAACACUUAGUGGACUAGGAAGUCCACCAUCAAAACGAAACAGCCCUGACAUAUGCCUCAACAUUCACCUCCAUCAUUAUAAAACAGAUCUGCAACUAUCUCACUGCAACUCCCCAAUCCAACAAAAUUACAUAAAAUGAAAGAUCCCAAAACCUUGGAGAGAGAGAAGCCAUAAGAAUGCCCAAUUCUUUCCCAAGAAUUCUCUUGUAAAUCCCCACUCUAAUUUUCAAAGGUUGCAAACUUGAAAUUAACAUAGAAGGUAACUGGCUUCAGAGUCAACUAGGAUAAUACUGGGCAUAUAUGCAGAGAGUAGGCAUAGUAGCAACUUUCAGGGUAUGGAAUAAUACAAAAGGAAAGGGAAGACCACAGAAUUCUCUCAGUCAUCUUAACUUGAUUUGGUACUAAGAAUAAGUUAUGUAUACACUUCCCACUGGCCCAUCUGUACGUUAAUAUAGAAAUAGAUUAUAUCCUGGCAACAAGGAAGUGAAAUACUCCUAUUUUUAUAUCAAUAUUGGGCACAAAUUAAGAGUUCAUCAAUAUAAUUUUACCUCAAUUGUAACCAACUGUGCAUAUAAGUUUACCUGAAUUGUUUGUCUGUGCUGCUUGUAUAUAUUGAUCUGUACAGUUGCUUUCUUCAACAAAGGGUCACUACUUUUCUGUACAUCAUAAUCUAUAUGUUCCUGCAAACAUAGUUUACAACUGUAAGCUCAAUAACUAGUGCACUGUUCGAAGUACAUGAUUGAAAAAUGAAGAAAACGGAGUGACCUUAUAACAAUUAAUGAAAGAUAAAAUGUAGUUCACAGAAUAAAACAUUCAAACACCACCAUCUUGAUAGUUAAACAAUUUCACUGUAAAAGCUAUUAAACUUAGCAGGAAAAAAAAUUUAAACUUUAUCUAACAUUUGAAUCUACAAUUUUCAAUUAGCAACUCUUGUCACAAAUGUUUAUUAGUGGGGUACGUUCUAAGAUAUUGUUAUUUGCUAAUUGUCGAGGAUUAUUUGGGAGUUAAAUCUCACAAGAAGGCGUAAAGAUCACAUUAGAAUUAGAUAUUUUACUAGGAAGCUAAAGAUCACAUUAGAACCACCCGCAGGAAUACAAAAAAACGACAUACCUUAUAGUCCAGUUGAUCAAAACCCUUGCAAACAAAUUCGAACAAGGUUCUUAAGUUCUCAGGGCUGGGUGCAGUUACAAAUAUAUUUGAAUACCUGUGAAGAUAUAUUUGUAUCGUCAAAACAUAGUACAUGAAUAUGAGUGUAGACAGCUACACAUACACCAAAACAGUUUUAAUACAUUGUAAAAGGCAUACUACCCUGCAGCAAUAGCUCCGGAAAUUGCCAAACCAAGUGCAGCCGAUUUUCCACGGCCUCGAGCAGCAAGCAAGGCAACAGUACUUCGGAGUGUCUUGUCCAAGAUUGCAUCAAGAAAUGUAGCAACAGCAUUUCCCUGUUGAAACAUUUACCAACUCAAACUAUGAGUCAUAUUAGUAAAUCACACAUGAUAGAAAAACUCAAAACUAAUACAAAUCAGAGAGAGUGCCUACCUGGUCCAACGUACAACAUUUCUUUAUUAAAGGGCCAACAGGAAAGGCAUCACUCAGCUGCUCUUUUAGAUCCUUCAGUUCCCUUUGUGACUCUGAUAUCCCUUCAGAGUCCUUCAAUCAUGAUCAGAAAACAAGAAAAAAGUUAUCAAAGUUAUCAAAGCUUCACAAACUCCUAGAAAGUAUCCUAAUAACCAUUCGGUAUACACACACUUGAAAAAUUACUUUUAUUCUUUUUGUCAUCUCGCAUAAGAUGCCACGAAAAUAAAGCAUUCCUCGAUUUAUCAGUUCCGUCCUAUAGAAAAGUUACAAGGCUAAAAGGUUACCUCUUUCACUGGAACUGGGGUAAUUGACCUCAUAUGAGAUGAAAUUGGUAAAAUAUUCAGCUCAUCAUCCAUUACUACACAUGAUUUGCAUGACGCAAGUGACAAUAAGAAACGCUCGUUAAAACGUCCAGUAGCCUUAGAAUGGGAUUCAGUUCGAAACCUAUCAUGAACAUCCUGAAAUCAAGAGGCGCUGAUAAGACUGUAUGGAGAUUUUUGCAUUUGAGAGAACGAGAAAGACAGUGUUGCAAAUAAAACAUGACAUAACGGAAUUGUUAUCAAAUAUAAUAUGUGGUGCAUGGCUAUUGCUAUAUUCGUUCUAAGUCCAUAAUGUAGUAAAACUAGAAACUACCUCAACAAGAAGAACAAAUAUUAUGAGGAAACCUAGUUGUUUUUUCUUCUUCUUUUUGGGGCUAGAACAUGAAAAGAAACAACUAGUCUACAUAGGCCCAACUGGGAAACUUAUAUGUUCAGCAGCAUUCUCUUAAAGAAAGUCAAGCAAUUGAAUCUACCAAAAGUCUUCUUGUAGCCAAGCACAUCAUUACGAAAAAAUUCGGAAACUUUUAACAUGGCUAGUUUUCAAGAUUUUGCGGUAUAUAAUAAGCAUAACCAUGCUGGCCUAAAAACUAAGCAUUAAUUGUGUGCAUGCGUAAGAGAAAGAGGUAUUAUUAUAUGCAUACCAUAACCAUGGUGUAGAGGUUGGUGAGUGAGGUUAGAGAAUGAAGCAACAAUAUGACUAGUCCACCUCCCUCCACUGUCUCUAUCGUUCUUGCUAGUAGAUUUGGAGUCAAGGCCUCAAAAUCCUAAUGCAGGAGAUCAAACUUAGUCAUAAAACUUAAAUCAAUUAUACAAGGGGUCUUGGCCAAACCAGUAAAUUUGUAAGUUUCAAGUUACCUGAAGUAUACACAUUCCAAAGGUAUUACCAAGAACUCUUUCUGAAUCCUUGUACAAGCAAUAAGUCAAUCCCCCACUUUCAACAAAAAGUGAGAAAGGAUCAACCUUCUCGGGAUCAAGCAGCCCCCUCUGCAUCAUCUUUUUUACUUGCUUAGCACGUUUUUUCUUGUGACUGCAUCAUGAAGUAGUCAAACGCAACGAAUCAAUAUAUUUUAAAAACGAAAUUCCGCCUUGCCUUAUAAUAAGGUGAAGAAUGGAAGGUAGAAGAAAUCAACCUGCUGAGCUCGAGCUUGUCCUUGUAGCACCACAACACAGUCGGGCGCGAUUUCUUUACUUCAUUGCUUAGCAUAUAAUGAAGAUUCACAAUCUGAAGACCAUAUAAAACUCCAUAUUAGCCAUUUUCCGUUAGUUUUCGAUAGAUUUUCGAUGAUAUUUCUUACCUUGUUUGAGGUUUUUAGUGUUACUCGGUGAGUAUUGCAGGUGAAAACAAGAAACAGUAAAACUGGUAAAAUUUUCUACCCAAUUCAAUUUAAAUCAUUGUUAUAACUCCUCAAAUUGAAUAGGAAUAGCAAAUAGGGAAUGGGAUAGGAAAGGCAGAAGAAAUUAGGAGUACCUGGUCACGGGAUUUGUCGCCGACGAUGACGAACAUGGAGCGGUGCCGGUUUUUGACGCCAUUGCUUAUUAGGGUUCGGAUUCGUUCGUCCACCUUCUUCCUCAUUCUCUCUCUCUCUUCUCUCUCUGUGCAAUUAGGUUUAGGGUUUAUACCAUAGGGCAGUUGUCGUCGUCGGGCAGGGUUUAAGCCGAACUAGUGAGAGAGAGACUAGACAUCGCGGAGAGAUAUUGAGUUCAUCUCAACCGUUGAUUGGCUAUCUGAUGGCUGUUAUCAAAGCUGACAUAAAAAUGAAAACUCAACACGUGGCCAAGUAUUUUUUUUCUCUCUUUUUUGGCUUAUUUAUUGAUUUGCCCCAGAAAUUAUUUUUUUUGUCUUACUCUAGGUCAUGAAACAGAAUUUAUCUUACUUUAUCUUCUAAAACUACCAAAAUCGAGUCAUUUCACCCAUGUUUUGUCAAUUCUAUCUCAUAAACGUUAAAUAAAAGGGAGUCUAAACAUUUCAUACCAUGCUAGCAAAGAUGAGCCACUGUUGUUGGUGAGGUACGAAAUUUUCAAACUUUCCUAAACCUUUAAAACUUAAAAGGUAUCUUGAAUAUGAACGUAAAUGAGGUAAAGUUGCUCAAUUUUGGCAAUUUAUGAAGGGUAAAAUGAGACAAAUUCAAUUUAAGGCUAAAGUGAGAGUAAAUGGCAGUUUCAUGAGAUAUAUCAAUAAAUAAAUCUUUUCUAGAAUACAACUAAAUUAUGUACUCACGGUAAAAGAUAAAUUAAUAUCGAACUUGUCAUUGACGAUAUCUAAACAUAAAACCUUUCAAGUUUUUACCUAUAAGAAUAAAUUUGGUAUAGUAAUUUCUUUUCUAAUUUAAAGUUUCCCAUAGAGUUAUGACGAAUUUGAUACCAAAUUAGGCUGUCAUUGUGUGGCAUAGCCGAAUUCCUCCUCCCUUACUUUAAAAAUAACGAUGUACUCAAAAAAAGUUUCCCAUAGAGUUAAAAUGAUCUUUAGUUGCUUGCUGAGACAACCCAUAUGUAUAAUAAGACAUUGAAAAAGGUGCCUCUGUCAUUUACACUCACACGAUCGAAUAAGUAGCUCCGACAGUUGCAUCAUAAAAUUAAGGGGUUUUCCGAGAUUGUAGUAAGGUUGACGAUUAAAGUUUGGGAAAUUUUCAGGUUAAGGAAUCAAGGGAUCACAUUUUCAAGUUUCGUAGGCAUUCUCUUUCCUUUGGAAUGGUGUUGGAAUCCGUCCUGAAGUUGCCCAUUCCUUUGCUCUUGAUUUUCAGAGUUGGAUAGCUAUAAACCUUAGGACACAUUGUACCACCAUACAUGGUUUACCUUGGAACCUUAUCUUUAAUUCAACUCUCUGGCAUUGCUGGAAAUGGAGGAAUAACUUUGUCUUCAAUGAUGGCCAACAACCGCUUGACUCACCCCAGAAUUUCAUUUUUCAAUUUGCAAGGGAAUGGUGUGAUGCGAACAAGUGUUCUUCUAGUAAGCCUCCUAGACAAAAUCAUCUCAAUCCAUUGGAUUCGUUUGCCAAUUGGUAUACAAAAUCAAUACAGAUGGGAGUUGUAAAGACCCAUUUAGCCACAUAAGUGCUGGAGGUUUGCUUCGUAAUUCUGAAGGGAAAUGGAUUAAGGGAUUUGCUGCUAAUUUGGGCAGAGGAACCAUCAUGGAAGGUGAGCUUUAAGGGUGGUUUCAUGGGACUUUCUAUAGGUUGGGAUGAGAGUUGCAAGGAAGUGAUUAUUGAAUGUGAUUCUUAUGCUGCUGUUACUUUGAUCCAACAACCUAUUUUAGUUCCCACUCUACAAUCUCAUUAUUGACUGCAAAGAAGCCAUUGAAAGAAAUUGAAGAUGUGAAGUUACUCAUAUCUAUAGAGAAAAUAAUGUCUUAGCUAAUCACACGUCUGACUUAGGUCAUGGGUUAUCACUUGGUCUUCAUGUUUUUGCUUCUCCUUCUACCAUUGCUACUAAUUUUAUAGUUUCUAAUACUAUUGGCAGGGCCCUCCCUAGAGCUGUUUUUUAGUAGCUUUUUUGUUUUGCUUGUUGGGCUUUGCCCUCUUCUGUACCCAAAAAAAAAAAAAAAAAAAAAAAUAUUGGGAAAUUUAUUUGGACCCAACUUUUUUAUCUCUACACCCAAAUAAUAUUUUCUCUUAUCUAAUCUUCCAAAUUUGUCCUUAAAUAACAAACAUUGAAGUUUUCUUUGUAUCUCUACACCCAAACCCCACGAUCCACCACUGUAGGGCGCUCCAUUAUUUCCGACAAACCCAACUCAAACGCCAGCAACACUAAAAUCGACAAAUCAAGACUGGAGAACAAAUGGUGUAGGAGUCCUAAUGUGAAUAUUAAAGCAAACUUAAGUUGCAAAACCCUUUUUUAUUUCAAUCGAUGAAAGGACCUUGGGUUAUGAACAUAAGGAACCUAUUAGGGUUUAGAGGUCCCCUCCACAUCAUAUGCAUAAGCCCUUUUUCUUCAUUCAUUAAUUUACGGAAGGGAAAAUUAAUACUAUUAUUCUCAUAAAAAGUGGGAAUACCAAGGAAAGAGAUCCUCUCCACACCAUAUAUUUUUCUUUUCUGAGUAGUUAUAUCCAAUGGAGAGAGGAAAACAAGAGCACCAAUGGUCGCAGGUUCACCGGAGAAAAUGAAGGUGCAGUGGUGAUGUGAGUUUAGGGUUAUUGGGUGUAAAGAUAACAACUUUAAUAUUUAUUUUCUCAUUUUUAUUUAUUUAAGGGCAAAUUUGAAAGUUUAGUAGAGAAAAUUUGUUAGUUGGGUGUAGAGAUAAAAAGGUUGGGUCCAACAAAAUUUCUCAUAAAGUUUAAUCACGCGAUUAAGUUCUUGUGCAAUGAGUAAAUUGUAGCAAUGACCCAUCAACUAAAAAUCCAUUAUUAUUGAUCCCUCAACUCAUCAAAAUAUGUAGUUAUGGUCAUUUUCGUCAACUUUGUAAGAAUUUUGUCAAAAUAAAUUAUGUUGGAAGGACCAUUGUUACAAUUAAGGUCCUUCAACUCAUCAAAACAUGUAGCUAUGGUCAUUUUCGUCAACUUUGUCAAAAUGAGUUAUGUUGGCAUGACCAUUAUUGCAAUUGGGUUAAAGUUGAGGAAUCAUUGCUCCAAUUGGGUUAAAGUUGAGGGAUCAUUUCUCUAGUUAGAUUAAAGUUGGGGGACCAAUGAUAAUUAAGUUUUAGUUAAGGGAUCAUAGUUGCACGUUUUGAUGAGUUGAGAGAUCAAUGAUAAUGAAUUUUUAGUUAAUGGAUCAUUACUCCAAUUGAGUUAAAAAUAAAGGACCAUUGCUACAAUUUACUCUUGUGCAAUAGAAGAUUAAUUUGGCCGAACAACCUGAUUAAGGUGCCUACUUUCUCUUUAAUUCAUUGGUAUCAUUUAUUUUCCCUUAAGCUGAAUUAUGCUCAAUUUAUGUAUCAAUAUUGUAAAGUUGUCUUUGUUAGAGUAAUUUGGACAAUAUAAAUUGAAAAUUAUUUGUGUAUAUGGAAAAGAUUAACCUCAGGGGUCACUUCGCCGGACUCCGUAGCAAUCUCCACCACUCCAAUCGUAAUGGUGAGUAAAUCACUUGUGUUUGUUUCCAUUUUUUCAAUUGGAAAUUGGGGGUUUUGAAUUCAUAUUUUGUCAAUUGGUUUUGUGAGCACUGAGAAUACACUACGAGCUUGUGUGUGUGUACAAUAUGUUGGAUUUGAUCUUUAUAAAGAAUGCGAGAAAUUGGGGUUAGGAAAGAGAAGAAAAGGAAACAGAACUCGAACUUCGAUCUUCAUUCUUGUUACUAAAGGAGAAAACCGAAUUUGAACCGGUUCAUACGUAAUCGAACCGAAUUUGUAUAGUUCGGUUCACCCCUUAGUACCGAACCGUACCAUACCAAAAAAAAUUUCUUGAGUUUGGUUUUGAUACAUCCCUCAUACUGUACCAUACCAAAUCGUGGCCAGACCUACUGAAUACAAAACUUAUAUCUGGGUCGUAAGUCGUAAGGCCUCCAAAAAAAAAGUUCAUAUUAUUCAUACCAAUCGGACAAAUCCCGCACCCAAAAACAAUGGCUAGAUAGAAAGUUCAAUUAUAGAUUAGGUAAUCUAUCCUUUUCAACUUAAAUGCACAUUCAUGAUGGUUAUGCAAAUCAUAUUAUGUUAACAAAUGCAACAAUUAAUUAUAUUUAUCCAUUUGGAAUGAUAUAUAUUUUCAAAGAUGGAAUUACAGACCCCGUUGACGUUGAGGCCAUUGCAUGAGAGAAUUUUAGAUGAUUUUCAAUUAAUUUAUAUUAUUGUUGUGAUAACCAUAAUAAUUAUUUUCUAAAUGUAAAACUAUAUUAAUGAAAUUUUCUUUGUCGGUCAAAAGAAGAUGAAAAGAUAUCUUUAUCUUCUAUCACAACAAAAAAAUUAAGGAUAUUAAUGUAAUAGGCUAAUAGCGAUGGGGUGAAGAAAUGGAACUAUCCUAAAUAGGCAGUUGCUGGUUAUAUUGGAUCAGGUGGUCUGAAUGAUUGGAUAAUUAGCAAAUAAAAAGGUUCCAUUUUUCAUGGACCCUCAAGUGGAAAUAUGGGAUAAAAGAUGGCAUAUACCAUUUUAUCCAUUUGUGAUUGUACAUUUUGAUGGUUGUGAUUUCACCCGAUGGCGCGGCAAGUGUGGAUUGGGAUAAGGAUGGUUUUGGUCUAUCAUCAAAGAUGGUUUGAUGUUCACGACUGGAUUUUACAACGCAUCCAAGUGCAUGGGUUCUAUAAAUACAGAGUUGCGCACAAUAAAAAAGUACAAAGGACCUUCAAACCUUUCACACACUCUGAGAAACUCCUGAUUCUCCCAACUUCGUCAACACAUCUUCAAUUUGGAUUAACAUCACUGUUUGUCAGUGAGGAGUCCUUAGUCUUCUCGUCUCAUUAGCCCUCUAGGUGAAGUGAGGUGUUACUGAAUUACUUGAGUAUUCAGCACAUUGAAAGUCGAACCUUAUUUGAACUUCACAGUAGUUAGCAAUCUUAUCUUCAGGUUUUAGAACCCAAUGCCAAGACAUAUUCCUUCCUCGACAGUGAUGGUUUGUACACAAAAGUUGGUUUGUACACAUAAGUCAGUAUUGUGUUUGACACACCAUCCCAUUCAUUCUACUAGCCCACAAACGCGUGGACUCGUCCAAAAUUACCCCACUCUCGGCCCGUUCACUUGCCCACUCGUCCCACGCGGCCCGUGAGUCUUCAGUGCCUGAUAGGGGGGCCUACUGUUAGGGCCGUUGUUGGCCACAACCCAGAGCCCAACGAUUUUUUUUUGCAUCCCACGACUGGCAUUUUUGGACCGUUGGUUGAUCCAACGGUCCAGAUUCAAAUUUUGUUUUUUUAAAUGUUAUUUUAAAAUACAUUGAAUCCAACGGCUGAGAUCGAAUAUAAUCAAAUCUAACGGUAAAAUAAAAAAAGAUAAAAAAAGAUAUAACAGUCCAAAUUUAAAUCCAACAGCUAAAAUAAUUUUAAAAAAAAUUAUUUAACUCAAAAUUCACCCAAAAACUCUAUAAAUACCUUUGUAUUUGUUCAAACAUCCACACAAAACUCAAUUUUCUCCCACAAUUCUUCCAUUUUUUCUUUCUACCAUUUCUUUCCAUUUCCAAAUUGUUCAACACGAUCCUUGAAUUGGCCAUCCCAAGCAGUAAGACAAUUCUUCCACUCCCAAAGCAUACAAUCGAGACUUCCUAUCAUGUCAGGAAAGCCUAUUUUGUCUGCUUUGAGUAGAAUGUGACGACAUGUCCCGAAUUAUUAUAUAUUUUUCUCCCUAAGUGUGUAAAGUGACGGUAAUGCCCUCGUGAUUUAGUGACGUGGAUGUACAUAUGUAGUUUUAAAUUAUUAUUUCUAUUGUCGUAGUUAAAUUGUACUCGACGCCAUGAGUGUGUUGAUGUGACCUAGGGCUAAAACAAAUUCGUAACGAAGAAGUUACGAACAGACGAGUGUGUAAAUGCGUAGAAAUAUAUUUUUAUGGGUUGGCUAUACCUUACCCACCAAUCACCUUAAUUCCUGAUUUCUUUGGCCUAAUUGAAUUAAAAAUAUCUCUCAUUUUUCCUUCUGCCCAAUCACGCACAUACACACCAUCACUCUCUCUCUUCUCUCGGACCUUCUUCUUCUUUCUUCUCAUUCCGUACACCCGAGCCACCCUUACCUCACAAUCAUCAUCAAAACAUUAUGGAUCGAAUUGGAAAUCACUACCAUCGCAGUCACCUCGAUCCCACGAACUCAUUGAUACCCUUAGGUCGAGGAAUAGACGUCGGGAAUUCGAGAACUCGGGAGCUCUGGCGAGGUGUAUUUUUCUACUUUGUGAUCGUGGUCUUUUUCUAUGGUUUAAAGGCUUGAGGUGGGUCCUAAUCAACUUUAUAGGGACCCUAGAUUAGUUUUGGAGCAGUUUGAACGUUGGAAUAGGUGAGAACAUGGAGUUGCAGGUUGGCCGGUUGAUCCAAGCCUUACUCCGACCACUUUCUGUCGGUUUUAGAACCUCAAGUAGGUAAGAUUGUAUUCUUCUAGUUGAGAGUUUCAAAUCCAUAUAAAAUUCAUGGAAUUUGGUUGAAAAAUGAUGAAGAUAUUAAAGUUUUAAGAUUUUUCCAAAAAUCAGCGACACAAACGGCGCCCGACGGCCAGCGAUGGAUUCCGACAAAGCCAUCGGAGAAGGAGGAGAAUAUUAUGUCUAACUUUGACAGAAUAUACUAACAGCGUCAGGUAACUCUAUUAGUUUUUAAACAAAAUAUUCUACUAUUUAAUGAAAUAUUCCCUAACGCCGUUAGGGAUUCCGUGCCUGCACGUGCCGGCUUAUGAGGGCGCGUGAGACGUCAGGAAAUUAAUCUAAAAAUAUUGGGGUGUUCGAGUUGUUGAGUAGGUCAUGUUGGUAUAUUCAAACACCCUAUUUGAGCAACGUAUGAGAAGUUAUUCCUAGGGUUUGUGUAUGUGCCUUAAAAUUAAUGUAAAAUUAGUUAUUUCGCAUAUAGGUGAGACUUACCCGGAGGACAAACGUGGUCAAACGAGACUUGGGGGCUACGAUCCUACUACUUACCAGUGAGCGGGCUUUUUUUUUCUAUAUAUAUGUAAAUAUGCUUAUGAAUCCCAUAAACUACUUUAAAUGAACGUAUGUUUUAAAUGCCAUGUCGUGUGCAUUAUGUGUUAGUAUUGCAUUAGUAUAGCUAUGCAUAGUAUUGGAUGAGACUGCGCAGACUCAGGUAAGUUUCAGGUGAGUACAUCAUGAUGGUAUUGGGUGCGUGUGUGUGGUUAUACGUUGAUGCAUUUUGAGCUUAUUAUCCUGCACAUUGGUGUUAGUGUUCUCGCCCAUGGCCAGGGCAUAGUUUUUCACAUGAUGUUCACCUCCUGGGCCGCACGCUCACUUUGGAUCCAAGUUUGGUGCACAGCCAUAUUGCACAGACCACAAUAGGUGGUUCCGACUCGUAGGUGACCUGCAAUUAUUUGCACAGCCUUCACGUGAUCGUAGCACUUAAGCGUACUUAUCUACACCCAGCCCUGUUGUACAGACCACAAUAGGUGGUUCCGACUUAUGUGCAUGCAUACUUGAUGAGCUAUAGAUUCAAUUGUACAGGUUACAUUAGGUGACUCCGGUUGGCAUACUAUUUUAGGUUGAUUCGUAUCACCUGGCUUACACAUUUUAUGGUUGAACAUCUUGACAUGGCAUACCUCUGUUUUCACUGCUCUAAGCAUUAUCCUUAUGUACCUAGUUGUUAUUAUUUUCUGGAAAAUUAUAUGGGUUUACAGUGAGGGGUUAGUAUGUUCAUAAAGACAACUGUGUUUUCAAAAACUUUGUUUUUGCCUACUCACAUUUUUUGUUUUGCACCCUUUCAGGUUCUAGGUAGUUGGUCAUCCUUGGUGGCUCACGAGGACUUUCACGGCGGUUCUGACAUCUCUGUAAAUAAGUAGGGAUUUUUUUCCCUGUUUGUAUAAUUAGUACUUAGUUGGUUCGAUUGCACUUUCGUUUACCCAUGCUCUGAUAUUUGUAUAACUUGCUUGGUCAUCUUUACUCACUUAUAUUAUCUUAGUUUAGAUAAGUUUGGUUUUAGGUUUUUAUUUAUUCGCAUUUCUUUUAUUAUUACUUCUGUUGCGCAUUUUGGCUACGUUACUCUUACGUGACGGGCAUCAUGUUUCGACUUCGGUUGGGGUGUGUCAUAAAAGCCUCUUCAAGUCUUCAUGAUUUGGCUUGCAGAGAUAUGUGGCUCCAUAUGUGGCCUGAAUUGCCCCACAGAAGCGCUCCAGGUUUUUAAUAGCAGUAGUCUCCGCAAGUCGGCAAUACUCAUCAGUUGAGUUUGCAGAGCACUCAUUAGCUAGCAUCCGAAAUGCAGAUGUGAGCUUCUGAUGAGGUGAUAGACUUUGUCGGCCUACGACAUUUAUCUUCCUUGCAAAGUAGUGGUCAUGAUUGACAACUGUGUUCAAGAUGCUUUCAAAAAUCUCUCUCCUCAUUCGAAACCGUCUCCGAAAAUCAUGAGCAGGAAAUCUCGGACGCUCAAUAAAAUAAUAUUUCAUCAUUCGGUCAUGACACUCUUCUCUAUCACGUUGCACAAAUGAACGCUUCGUGACAUAACCACAAUAGCUAGAUUCGACAUGGUGCUCAUAUUGCAUAAGCGAGUUUGGAAGUUUAGCUUAUGCGUUGAUCAUUUUUGAAUCCUCAAUGUCAAGGCUUGCUUGGUAUUAUGUCAUUUGCAUUGCCCUGCUACACCUUCUUCUAUCAUCCAUUGUUGAUAUAUUGAGGAUUUUUAUGAAACAAAAACACUUUGAAAGUUGAAAGAUUAGUGAAUAUAGGGAAUGAUUGAAGGUUGAAAGAUUGUGUGACCAACUGAUAUUGAACAUGUGUUUAUAUAGAGGAUGAUUGAUGAAAGUUGAAAGUUUGGUGAAAGUUGAACGGUUGGUGAAAGUUGAAGAUUUGUGAAAGUUAAAGACUUGCUUUGUGGAAAGAUUUAGUGAUUUUUUCAAUAUUUAUUGGAAUUUAAAUAUUUUUAUAUUAAAAUGUUCAUAAAAUUAAUUUACCAUAGGCUACAUAAUUUUUUUUAAAAGUUAAUUUAAGAAAAAAAAUUAGCCUAAGUUCAUUCUUUAAUAAUCCCGAACUAAAAUUUUAGGCUAGGGUUGGAGCAGAAAAACUGUUUCUGUGUUAAAAGCUAAAUUUUUUAGAUUAAAAAUUUUAAAUUUUAACCCAAAGGUUGGAGAUGAUUUAAGAAUGGAUAAACUUAACCAAGAAAAGAAGAAAAAAGAUGAAGGGCAAAUAAGUGAGAAGCAACAUGACACGACACACGGACGACCAUAGCAAUAAAGCGUGCGUCCUCACGUCCAUUGAAUAUAUAGAUGGGAGCUACAACAUCGUGUUUCACGUGCAUGUGUAUUAUACAUAAAGGCAUAUACAGUGUUAGCUUAUAUAUUAUAAAGUUUGUAGGCCACUUACCCAAUUUGGCAUAUGUUUUAUCUUUUUACGUGAAUAACCAAUGUGUUAUGAUGAUACAAGUCUCUUAACAUAUCCGGAGUUAGAAAUAUCAUAAGACAGUGUUGCGAUCAUAUUGAAAUUAAUUGACAGUUUGUAUUAUAUAUUUGAUUAUUCUUUAUUAACUUAAGGAGACAGCAUACUUAGACCUAAUUUAGUCACAUUCUCCAACCGAAAAUAAAGCGGUGUAGUAUUCAUACACUUUUUUUUAUUUCUUACACAGUCUUAAUUAAUUUCUAUUGUUUGAUCUUCUUCAAUUCAUUCGAUCUGACGACCGAAAAUUAAGAUGGUGUGUGGACGAGUAAAUUAUAACAAUGGUCCCUCAACUUUAAUCAAAUUGGAGCAAGGGUGCUCAACUAAAAAUCCAUUACCAUUGGUUCCUCAACUCAUCAAAAUGUGUAGCUAUGGUCAUUUUCGUCAACUUCGUUACAAUUUUGUCAAAAUAAGUUAUAUUGGAAUGACUAUUGCUACAAUUGGGGUCCCUCAACUCAUCAAAACGUGUAGCUAUGGUCAUUUUCAUCAAUUUCGUUAGAAUUUUAUCAAAAUGAGUUUUGUUGGAAUGACCAUUGCUACAAUUGAAUUAAAGUUGAGGGACUAUUAUUUCAAUUGAGUUAAAGUUGAAAGAUCAUUUCUUCAGUUGUAUUAAAGUUGAAGGAUCAAUGGUAAUGAAUUUUUAGUUGAGGGGACUAUAGCUGCACGUUUUAAUGAGUUGAGAGAACAAUAAUAAUGAAUUUUUAGUUGAAAAACUAUUACUUCAAUUGAGUUAAAAUUAAGAAACAAUUGCUACAAUUUUUUUAUAUGGAAAGUGGAUGAUGUGAAUAGCACAUCCAAAAAUAAAAGGGAACUUUAACGAAAAGCACCCGGUACUGUUCACUUUAACGAAAAACCACAUUUUUACACUAAAAAGUCAAUCCUGGUACUAUUCACUUUACCCUUUAUUUUGUCCUUAUCAUUAAAACUCAAAGUUUUCAAGCCCUUUUCAUUAGUUUUCCUAAAAUAAAAUGCACCACAAUUUGGUAGGAUCUUCCUGUUGAGAGUAAUAAAUUAAUAAUUGCCGAAAUAUUGGAUAAUUUGUCGGCCACAACGCUAUGAGGGAGUAUCUGGGGAUGAAUAUACUCUUGCCGACAGAUGCCCAAAUUCCAACUGCCAUUCAAAUGAGCCCUCCACCACCACCGGCCAUAAUAAAUUCUCUUUCUUUAGUGAAGAAGAAAAAGAGGUACUUGGCCCUCACCUCAACUUUUUGAGAAAGAACAAGUUUAUCGCUAUCAGAAUGUUUCGGUCAAUUAUAUAAGUUAUGUGUAAAUUUUUCUUUAGAUAACAUUACAUUAUUAUAUUUAAAAUGUUCCGUAACGAUAAAUUUGUUUCAUACAAAUUAUUCUCCAACUUCUUGGAUUUUUCUCCUUUUUCCCGAAAACCAGCUUAUAUUAGUGUUCAUCCUCUGUCAAUAUCACUCGCCCACAACUAUUCAACUAACUUUUAAUAAUUUGACAACGUGUCAUAUUUUUGUGCAAAGCGGGCCCAUUUUUGUGGGUGAUAUAAUAAUGGCGUAUGUGGUUUGUCAAGACAUAUACUCAUUUAUCCAUUAGCAGUUAGGUAAGUCACCUCACUCACCCACAGCCUAACACAUCAACAAAUAUUGCUUACAAAUUCUAGAAAAUUCGACCAAGAAAAAAAACCAAAUGCUCGCAAAUUAAAAUUGUGUAACAUGAUUAGUUUUUUAUCCAUUAGUAUUAAUUUUACGUUGGAAGAAAUUCCAAAUUUAUUCUUGUAAAGAGGGAUAUGAAAAUACUUUGUAUGUCUAUCACCAAAAUCUUCGAAUGUUUGAAUGGUUGAUUUUCAAGUCUCACACAAUUGGAUUUAGUUCAAGUGAGAAAGAAAUACACUCAAACUAUUAGAUAUGAGGAAUGAAAAUACACUACAAAAUCUUGUGAACAUUUCUAAUAUUCUCUUCUAUCUACUUUUUGUGAACCAAGUUUUUAUUUGUUUUUUUUUUUAACAAAAGAUAUUUUUUAUACUAGGGAAAUAAGGUGGGUUUAGCCUCAUAAUGGGCUAACAUAAUCUAGUUCAAACUUGCAUUUGGUGAGAAUCGAACCUAAAAUCUCUCACUUACAAGUGAAGAGGAAUACCAUUAGAAGUGUCAUGAAAUUAGCAGUCUUAUAUGUAAAAAAUUGAUUGACUAAAUGCUGUGUUAAAAAACAAGAUUAAUACUUGCAUCUCCCCACUUGGAAAAUGCAAAUAUUUCAUUUCUUGCAAAUAACGUAUAUCAUGCGUUCUGUUCAAUCGCAUAUUCAAAAAUGUUAAAAACAAGAUUAAUAUUUCUAUCUCCCCACUUGGAAAAUGCAGUAUUUCAUUUUUUACGAAUAACGUAUAUCCUGUGUUCCGUCCAAUCGCGUAUUAAAAAAAUGUGUGAAGUUUGGAUUAACUACACUCUUUGAGAAUUUCCUUAAAUAACCACUUUUUGAAAAUUUCUUAUAGGACUAAGUGAGUCUCCGCUGAGAAUUUCCUUAACUAACACAACACUACUUGAGUGAUAAUUUGUUAUAUCUUGAAUAGAGAAUAAAUCAGUUCCCUACUUUUGAAGGUACUAUUAACUUACACUAUAUUUGAAUGAGAACAAUAAACUUAGAAUUUAGAUGAAGGAAAUAAAACAGUUUCCUACUUUUGAAGGUACUACUCGAGUGAUAAUUUGUUAUAUCUUGAUAACGUGUCAUAUUUUUUUGCUAAGCGGACCCAUUUUUGUGGGGUGGUAUAAUAAUGGCGUUUGUUGUUUGUCAAGGGCAUAUACCCAUUUAUCCAUUAGCAGUUAGGUCACCUCACUCACCCACAACCUAGUACAUCAACAAAUAUUGCUUACAAAUUCUAGAAAAUUCAACCAAGAGAAAGAAAACCAAAUGCUCGCAAAUUAAUCUGUGUAACAUUAGUUUUUAUCCAUUAGUAUUUAUUUUACAUUGGAAGAAAUUCCAAAUUUAAUCUCGUAAAGAGGGAUAUGAAAAUACUUUGUAUAUCUAUUAUCAAAAUCUUUGAAUGUUUGAAUGAUUGAUCAUCAAGUCUCACACGAUUGAAUUUAGUUCAAGUGAGGAAGAAAUACACACAAACUAUUAUAUAUGAGGAUUGAAAAAUACACUACAAAAUCUUGUGAUAACAUUUCUAAUAUUCCUUUCUAUCUACAUUUUGUGAUAAGUUUUUUUUUUCCUUUUUUGAACAAACUAUAUUUAUCUACAUUAAGGGAGAGGAGGUGAUCUUAGCCUCACAAUGGGCUAGCAUAAUGUGGUUCAAAUUCGCCUUUGGCGAUAAUCGAACCUAAAACUUAUCAUUUACAAGUAAAUAGGAAUACCACUAGAUGGAUCAUGAAAUUAGCAGUCUUAUAGGUAAAAAAAAAUUGAUCGACUAAAUGAUGUGUUAAAAAACAAGAUUAAUACUUGCAUCUCUCCACUUGAAAAAUGUAGAUAUUUCUGUGAACACGGAAAAUUCCUGAAACGAAAGAGACAAGAACAACGUGCACAAAAUAAUAUUUUGGUGUUAAUGGAUUUGUUGGGUUACGAUCUCUUUUAACUUGAUCCUCUGAUUCGAUCUCCGUAAGGUGUUGAUUUAUGGAUGUUUCGUUGAUCCAAGGGCUGUUGAGGCUUGAUCUUAGAUGAACUGUUGGAAGUUUCUUCAAGGGGCCGUGGGCUUGAUCUUUGAAGGUGGAUUUGAGCGGAUCUUCAAGGAGCCGUUGGGGCUUGAUCUUGAGGAUGAGUGUUUCUUCAAGGGCCGUUAAGGCUUGAUCUUGAAUAACGGUGAUGAACGGAUCUUCAAGGGCUUUUGGGCUUGAUCUUGAAGAACGGUUGGAUGUGUGGAUUUGUUGAUGUUGUUGAUCCAAGGGCCGUCGGAGCUUGAUCUUGGAAGAACGAUGAACGAAGAACGAAGAACACUUUCUUCAAAGGCCGUCGGGGCUUGAUCUUGAAUUGGUGAUUGUUGAUCCAAGGGCCGUCGGGGCUUGAUCUUGGAAGAACGAUGAACGAAGAACGAAGAACACUUUCUUCAAGGGCUGUCGGGGCUUGAUCUUGAAUUGGUGAUUGUUAAUCCAAGGGCCGUCGGGGCUUGAUCUUGAUUCUUCGGGAUGAACGGAUGAUGAACAAUGAACACUUUCUUCAAGGGCCGUCGGGGCUUGAUCUUGAAUUGGUGGAAGUUCUUCAAGGGCCUUUGGGGCUUGAUCUUGAAGGUGGAUGAUUGUUGAUCCAAGGGCCGUCGGGGCUUGAUCUUGGGAUGAACAGUUGUGUGGAUUUGUUGAACACUUUCUUCAAGGGCCGUCGAUGCUUGAUCUUGAAUUGGUGGAAGUUCUUCAAGGGCCGUUGGGGCUUGAUCUUGAAGGAGGAUUUGACGAAGAACGAAGAGGGCUUUCUUGAUCCUUCGGGAUUUGCUUGAAUUUGGGAGGUUGGAUGCUUGAAAGCUUUAGAGUUUCAAAGCUUCAAGGAUUUUGGAUGUGUGGGGAGUAUUCUCUUCCAUUUUGGGAGUAGAGAAAUGUAUUUGUGAAUUGGUUUUUGAUACCUUGAUGUAGAAGCCUAUUUAUAGGCUUUGAGAAUGAAUCACCACCACAAAAUAUUUUUUUUCUUUUCCAAGCACCAUUGCCUAAUUUCCCACUUAAUACAAUUUUAAACUUGAAGUGGUAAUUUUAUGGCCUAAUUUUCCACUUAAUAUCAUUUUAAACUUGAUAUGUGCAUGCUUUGUCAUUGCCCAAAAUGAGAAGAAAACCUUGUUUUGAUCUUCAAUGAAUUGAAAUGUGCUUGCCUUGUCAUUGCCCAAAAUGAGAAGAAAAACUUGUGUAAUCCUUCAAGGGUAUUUCUUUUUAUUUUGUUGAGUCGCACACCAUGUGUACAAUUUGUAUGACACGUGGCAUAUGCCAUGUACGCCUUGACACGUCAAAAUUUUAAUGCGUUGGUGAACAUUUAUUUCACCGCAAUUUCGGUGUCUACAAAUGCCCCCACUUCAAGGUGCGUCGUAUACAUGUGCUUGUCACGUGUAGGAGAUGCGUUUUGAAGUCCCUUACUGUAGAUGUCAAUCCAAUGGCCAUCGAGGCUUGAUCUUGAAUUGGGCUGGAGAUUUCUUCAAGGGCCGUUGAGGCUUGUUCUUGGACUUUGUUUGAAAUUUCUUCAAGGGCCAUCGAGGCUUGAUCUUGAAGGUUGAAAUUGGACCACAAGGAGCUUCAUGUGGUAGAUGAUCUUUGGCUUUGGUAGUGGAUGAAUCGGCACGUAUUUGUUUUUGCGCUUUGUUGACUUUCCACAGCUUUGAUCUUGAACUGGGUUGGAGGAUUUUUUGGAUUCCUCCAAUUGUUGAUUUUCCACAGUUUAUUCUUGAACUGGAUUUGAUUCAAAUAUGGUGGACGCUUGAUCUUGAAUCGGACUUGUGAUUUCCUCAAGGGCCGUCGAGGCUUGAUCUUGAAUUUGGCCGGAAACUUCUUCAAGGGCCGUUGAGGCUUGAUUCUUGAAGGUUGACUCGAACACAUGGCAAGCAGGCACGAGGUGAAGGUGACGACUUGUUGCUUUGUUCAAUCUUUCUAAUUCACACCUGAGCAGUUUGGUCAACGGUAUGAUCUUCAAGAUUGAUGGGCUCUUCUUCCAGUUGGUGAUUUGAUCUUUAAGGAUUUGAUUCAAGGGUGGUGAAACGGCACAUGCAGCCCACAACGCCUAGCAAGUCGACCCAAGAAUUUGAGGGUUAAAACGAGUCCUCCACCCAGAGUGAUUGCAAACCUGAUGAUAUGAGAUACUUUUGAUUUUGAAGAAGUAGCGGAUGAAUCGGCACGUGCUUUGUUGUGCUUGUCUCCACAUGCUUCAAUGUAUCAUUUUCCCUUGUCUUAUCUAUUCUUCUAGCAGAAUGUAGCAUCUUCUUAAGUUCUUCAACUCAGACUCCUUCUGCUGAGCUGACUGUGCAGGCUGCAUUAUUCUCUGCUUGUUUCUUUAGGCAGAUGUGGCAGCUUCUUGAGUUCCUCAGCUCGGACUCCUUCUGCUGAGCUGAUUGUGAAGACUGCAUUCUUAUCUGCUUGUUUCUUCUGUACGUUGUCUCCACAUGCUGCAAGGUAUCAUUUUCAAUUGCCUUAUUUGUUUUCCAGGCAAAUGUGGCAUCCGAGUUUGAGUGGAGGUUCUGGCAUAUUGUUUUCUUUAUCCUUGUCUUUGUAGGUAAGAACAAGGACAAAGGAAAGGACAGGGAGAACGCAUGAUAUGAUAUACUCUUGCUUUCUACCCUGGUGAUAUGAGAUACUUUUGCUUUGGUGUCAUUUGUUUGCAGAGGUACCCCAAGGAAUAAGAAACACUGAGUGACUCGAGAGGCUUUGUUGGGAAGGCAUUCUAGGAGAUGAAGAAAGGUUCUUGGAGAUGAAGAAAGGUUCUCGGAGAUGAAGAAAGGUUAUGUAUGUCUGCCUUGCUAUGGAGGGUAAAGGUGGACAGUUAUAGGAAAUUCUUUAGUACCUGUAGAGGUACUAUUCUUUUACUCGUGUCGGCAACCAAUGUGUGAUUGAUCAGUAUGGCUUCACGUGUUUUCUUCUUUAUCAGAAAUCUUCGACAAAUUGUCCGUAAUUUUCGUCAAGCUGAGUGUGCAUGUGACAGGUGUUGACGAGGCUGAAAAAGACUGGUGCCUCUUCGAUAUCUGGGAUCGGCGCUUCGACAAAUUGCCCGUGAUUUCCGCAAAGCUGAGUUUGCGCGUGACGGGUGCUGACGAGGCUGAAAAAGACUGGCGCCUCUUCGAUAUCUGGGAUUGGCGCUUUAACAAAUUGCCCAUGAUUUCUGCAAAGCUGAGUUUGCACGUGACGGGUGCUAACGCGUCUGGAAAAGCAAGAUGCUUCUCCGAUUUCUGAGCUUGCCUCUUUGAUUUUUGAAUUGGCCUCUUCGAAUUCUGAGCUCGCCUCUUCGAUCUUUGAAAUCCCAUCGAGUGUUGAUCUUUAUAGAGGCACGCAGUUCGUUUCAAAGCACACUUGAAUUUUCGCUUGUAGAAACUCCCUUCUUGCACUUCUAAGAUCUUGAUUUGUCCGACCUCUUCUUUCUUCAACACCUUUGAAAAUGUCUGGACCCUCCGACCGUCAUUUUGAUUUGAACCUUGGUGAAGAGGUAGUCCCGUCUUCUCCAGAUAACAUAUGACGCCCAUCUUUCAUAUCCCCUACUGGUCCUCUUACCGUUGGGGAUUCGGUGGUGAAGAAUGAUAUGACCGCUGCGGUGGUGGCCCGAAACCUUGUCACUCCCAGAGAUAACAGACUACUUUCCAAACGGUCUGAUGAGUUGGCUGUUAAGGAUUCUCUGGCUCUCAGUGUGCAGUGUGCAGGUUCUGUGUCUAAUAUGGCCCAACGCCUAUUUGCUCGAACCCGUCAAGUUGAAUCAUUGGCGGCUGAAGUGAUGAGUCUCAAACAGGAGAUAUUAGAGGGCUCAAGCAGAGAGAUAAACAGUUGCAUAAGCUCGCACAUAGCUAUGCGACAAACAUGAAGAGGAAGAUUAACCAGAUGCAGGAAUCUGAUGGUCAGAUUUUACUUGAUCAUCAGAGGUUUGUGGGUUUGUUCCAGCAGCAUUUGCCUUCGUCUUCUGGGGCUGUACCGCGUAAUGAAGCUCCAAAUGAUCAACCCUUGGCUCCUCUUCUUCCUGGAGUUCCGCCGAGUGGUGUGGCUUCAAACAGUCAACCUCCGACGCCUCUCAUUUCUGGAGCUCUGCUGAGUGGUGAGGUGGCACCUAAUCGUCCUUGAAGAUCCCCUCUUGUAAAUUUGAUUUGAUUUUUUUUUAAGUAUGUAUAAUGCAAAUUUAUGUAAAAUUUCCAGAAAAAAUAAAUAAAAACGGACUUUAUUUCUCUCAAUGCAUUUGUUUUGUUUUGUUUUUGUUUUUUUUGUUUUUUUGUUUUUGUUUUUUUUGUAAAUACAUAAUAACAUAUGUAUUUAUUUAUUUAUUCUUUUGUAAUAAAAUUGACUUUCUUUAAUAAAACUUUUAUAUUUUUCUUAUUUAUUUUGAUAUGACUGAACUCGAAAUUGAAUGUUCGAGCCGCCUACGUACCCUUCCAAAGAAGAGAUCAAGCCAUAACGUAGUUCAAAUGAGUGAUGAAUUUAAUAGUGAUUUUGAUGAUGAUUUUGCCGUACACAGUUUAUGCUCUUGUGGGCCAGGAGCUUUGGUGUUGCCUUUUAUGCUCGUGCAGACCAGGAGCGUUGAUGUCGCCUUUUAUGCUCGUGUGGGUCAGGAGCGUUGAUGUUGCCUUUUAUGCUCGUGCAGACCAGGAGCUUUGUGCCAUGCAGUUUAGACUCGUGCGGGCAAGGAGCUUUGGUUCGUGCAGUUUAGGCUCAUGCGAACAAGGAGCAUUGGUUCGUGCAGUUUAGGCUCGUGCGAACAAGGAGCAUUGGUGUUGCCUUUUAUGCUCGUGCAGACCAGGAGCUUUGUGCUAUGCAGUUUAGACUCGUGCGGGUGAGGAGAAUUUGUGAAUUUUGUCAAGCACUUUUGGAGAGGCGUUCCUUACAAUCUUCAUAGCAAGGAGCCUUGACCGAGUGAUUGAAGAAGUCUUCGGGAAAGAAGUCGCACAUCGUGAUGGCAACAGACGAUCUUUGUGUCGUAAUUUCAUCAUCUUCAACACGUUCACGUUGCUUUGAAGGUUGACAAGAGCUGCUUUGCCCCCUUUCCGAUUGGCGGACUUGUGGAGGAGACGUAUGCUUCUUGUGCCAUUUCUUAGGAGUGACUUGAGUCCAUCCUUCAAGUUUGCUUGUUUUGGAGGAUGCCCCCGGCGGUUGAGGUGAAAAUUUUGUGUUGAAAGAGCCAGAAGUGAUGGUGGUAUAGUUUGACUUCACCACAUCGUCAAGAUCUAGCUCGAUGAUUCCUUUCUGAGCCCACUUUAUGAUGAGAUCUUUCAGCACAAAGCACUUUUCUGUCGGAUGACUGAUGAAGCGGUGGAAUUUACAGUAUCUUGGACUGUUGGUACGAUUCAUCUCUUCCGGCCAUCUGCACUCAGGCAAACUGAUCACCUUCUUGUCCAACAGGUCAUCCAACAUGGCAACCACAUCAGAGUCAGGGAAUGGAUAAGUCUUCUCUUUAAGCUCCUUCAAAGUGCGUCUACGCAUCUCUUGAUCACGAAAAGCUUCGGUUUGAAUCGUUUUGCCUCGUGUGGAGAUUUUGACGGGAGAUGUGUUGACUGUCAUUGCUUCCUUGGUGGAUUUCCACGUAGCCUUCUCCACCUUUGUCUCAAGAAUUUUGUCGUUCUUGUAGUCGGCGAUCGGUUCCUUCUUCCCAUGAUGGGUGAUGCUCAACUCCAUGUCAUGGGCGUGGGUGGCCAAUUCCUCGAAGGUCCGUGGUUUAAUGCCUUGAAGGAUGUAUUGCAAACCUCAUUGCAUGCCUUGGAUGCACAUCUCGAUUGAAGAGGUCUCCGAGAGCCUAUCUUUGCAGUCGAGGCUUAGAGUGCGCCAUCUGUUGAUGUAGUCAAUGACCGGCUCAUCUUUCCAUUGCUUCAUACUUGUGAGCUCCAACAUGCUUACAGUGCGGCGGGUGUUGUAGAAGCGGUUGAGGAAUUCCCGCUCCAAUUGCUCCCAGCUGUUGAUGGACUCAGGCUCUAGGUCCGUGUACCACUCAAAUGCGUUUCUUUUCAGCGAGCGCAUAAACUGCUUGGCGAAGUAGUCCCCCUCCGUCCCCGCGUUGUUGCAAGUUUUGACGAAAUGUGCAACGUGCUGCUUUGGGUUUCCUUUUCCAUCAAACUGCAUGAACUUUGGUGGUUGAUAUCCCAUCGGCAUCUUUAGGGCAUCAAUCUUCUUUGAAUAAGGCUUUGAGUACAACCCGGAGGUAUUUGAGCUCCCUUCGUACUAUGCCUUGACGGUGCUGGCAAUCAUCUCUUGCAACUGUUGGAUAGAAAGAGAUCCCAUGAGUGCCGCUUCUUGGUCUGGCUCCGGCUUCACAUCGAUUUUCUCCACCGUAGGCUCAUCUUCUGGGUUAGGGUUCUCGCUGUCCUGUGGCUCCAGUUGACUGAUGAGUGCAGCGAUUUGCAAGUCUUUUUCUUCCACAGUUCGGGUUAGCCUUGCGAUUGCUUCAUUCAUUUGAGCCAGUUGUUCUUCGAUGGAGGUAACGCCGAUGGUCAUGACUUGUGCAACCAAUAGACGUGACUUUCCUUUAGACAUCCAAGAUGCUGAAGAAGAACGUCAUUGGUUGUUUUGGGAUGUCAUCUUGUGUGCCUCAGCAACAUGCUUUGGUGCCCCCAGCGAGGUCAGGUUGAUGACAGACUCACACCUUUGAUGCUCCCUUUGCUCUUUUAGCGGCACCAACUUUGAAGUGGCAUGUUAAGGAGCGGUUGUGGUGCUAAUGGAUUGUCCAUUUGCGGCAGAAGUGCUUAGGAUCCUUCCCUCAGUGAUUGCGAGAACGGCUUGUCCCUUGCUUGAUGCCAUUGAUUUUGAGGUGUGUUUGGAUUCCUUAAACGGAGAAAGAUAUGAGAGGUAGAGAUUGUCCCACCGGGCGUGCCAAUUUGUGAACACGAAAAUUUCCUGAAACGAAAGAGACAAGAACAACGUGCACAAAAUAAUAUUUUGGUGUUAAUGGAUUUGUUGGGUUACGAUCUCUUUUAACUUGAUCCUCUGAUUCGAUCUCCGUAAGGUGUUGAUUUAUGGAUGUUUCGUUGAUCUAAGGGCCGUCGAGGCUUGAUCUUGGAUGAACUGUUGGAAGUUUCUUCAAGGGGCCGUGGGCUUGAUCUUUGAAGGUGGAUUUGAGCGGAUCUUCAAGGAGCCGUUGGGGCUUGAUCUUGAGGAUGAGUGUUUCUUCAAGGGCCGUUAAGGCUUGAUCUUGAAUAACGGUGAUGAACGGAUCUUCAAGGGCUUUUGGGCUUGAUCUUGAAGAACGGUUGGAUGUGUGGAUUUGUUGAUGUUGUUGAUCCAAGGGCCGUCGGGGCUUGAUCUUGGAAGAACGAUGAACGAAGAACGAAGAACACUUUCUUCAAAGGCCGUCGGGGCUUGAUCUUGAAUUGGUGAUUGUUGAUCCAAGGGCCGUCGGGGCUUGAUCUUGGAAGAACGGUGAACGAAGAAUGAAGAACGAAGAACACUUUCUUCAAGGGCCGUCGGGGCUUGAUCUUGAAUUGGUGAUUGUUAAUCAAAGGGCCGUCGGGGCUUGAUCUUGGAAGAACGAUGAACGAAGAACGAAGAAGGCUUUCUUGAUUCUUCGGGAUGAACGGAUGAUGAACAAUGAACACUUUCUUCAAGGGCCAUCGGGGCUUGAUCUUGAAUUGGUGGAAGUUCUUCAGGGCCUUUGGGGCUUGAUCUUGAAGGUGGAUGAUUGUUGAUCCAAGGGCCGUCGGGGCUUGAUCUUGGGAUGAACAGUUGUGUGGAUUUGUUGAACACUUUCUUCAAGGGCCGUCGAUGCUUGAUCUUGAAUUGGUGGAAGUUCGUCAAGGGCCGUUGGGGCUUGAUCUUGAAGAAGGAUUUGACGAAGAACGAAGAGAGCUUUCUUGAUCCUUCGGAAUUUGCUUGAAUUUGGGAGGUUGGAUGCUUGAAAGCUUUAGAGUUUCAAAGCUUCAAGGAUUUUGGAUGUGUGGGGAGUAUUCUCUUACAUUUUGGGAGUAGAGAAAUGUAUUUGUGAAUUGGUUUUUGAUACCUUGAUGUAGAAGCCUAUUUAUAGGCUUUGAGAAUGAAUCACCACCACAAAAUAUUUUUUUCUUUUCCAAGCACCAUUGCCUAAUUUCCCACUUAAUACAAUUUUAAACUUGAAGUGGUAAUUUUAUGGCCUAAUUUUCCACUUAAUAUCAUUUUAAACUUGAUAUGUGCAUGCUUUGUCAUUGCCCAAAAUGAGAAGAAAACCUUGUUUUGAUCUUCAAUGGAUUGAAAUGUGCUUUGCCUUGUCAUUGCCCAAAAUGAGAAGAAAAACUUGUGUAAUCCUCCAAGGGUAUUUCUUUUUAUUUUGUUGAGUCACACACCAUGUGUACAAUUUGUAUGACACGUGGCAUAUGCCAUAUAUGCCUUGACACGUCAAAAUUUUAAUGCGUUGGUGAACAUUUAUUUCACCGCAAUUUCGAUGUCUACAAUUUCAUUUCUUGUGAAUAAUGUUUAUCCUGUGUUCUGUCCAAUCGCGUAUUAAAAAAUGUGUGAAGUUUGGAUUAACCACACUCUUUUAGAAUUUCCUUUAUUUACCACUUUUUGAGAAUUUCCAAUAAGACUGGGUGAGUCUCCGCUGAGAAUUUCCUCAACUAACACCACACUACUUGAGGGAUAAUUUGUUAUAUCUUUGAAUAAAGAAUAAAACAGUUUCCUACUUUUGAAGGUACUAUUAACUUACACUAUAUUUGGAUGAAGGUCAAACUUUAUAAAUUGACAUACACCAAAUUCUUUGUUUGGAUUCAUAAACAUAUAAAUUUAGAAUUUCCGCGUGGAAAAAAAAAAUACUUAGAAUUUGAGACCUCCAAUUCUCAAAUUGAAAGUUUAAAAAUAAUAAAUUCCGUAUUCAAUUCAAUUGUUCUUUUAGGUUAACCAAAUAAGAAAAUUCACAAAUUCUAAAAUAUAAAAUCUCAUCAUUUCAAUUUCCGUCAUUUUAAAAUUCCUUAGUAAUAUUAAAUUUCUUCAUCCAAACAUAGUGUUAAGAAAUUUUUUAAAGAUACACUAUUUACACUCAUUUUUAUUUCUUACACAUUUAUUAACUUUGUCCAUUGAUUUCUUCAAUUCAUUUUGCCAGUUAUACAAAAAUUGAGAACAGUAUUUAUGAAUUAAAAAUACAUUUGUAGAUGUCACUACCAAAUUUUUAUUCCUAAUUCAAGAAAAUCUUAUCCAUAUAUGAUUGCCCUUGCCCACUUUAAAUGGGUGCCAUCACUUUACGAUAGAGCAAUCCUAACCGUCCACCUAGGUAAGCAUAACUGGCGAUGCAUGUCGCAAGGGGACCGCAUUGCACAAUAUAAUUAUACUAGUUGAUAAGACAAGUGAUGUCAAUCAAUAAAUUAUUUCAUUAAAACUUAGUUGUAUGUAUCAUAUGUUGUAAUGUAGGGUGUAUGAUAUGCUGACGCUGUAAAAAAAUGUAACCUUUUUAAUAUUACUCAUAAUAGUAAGACUUACCAGUAUUAGGAUGUUAUCAGUGGAAUGAGAAUCCUCUCCAGAUCUUUUUUGUGAGCUAUUAUUUGUAUUUAAUUUUAAAUAUAAAAAAUUAAAAUAAUUUAUGACGGCAGUGAUUCACAUGAUCUUCACAAAGAGAAUCCAAAUAAUCUUAAUUUAUAUCAGUGUGUCUAGAUAACAUGAUCGAGCCCCUUUACUUUUACCCUAUUUAGUAUUUUACAUUUGAACCUGUAAAUAUUCGAUUUUUCUUUGGUGCAACCGAGCACCAAAUAUAGAUUUUUUUUCACUUUUAUAUAAUGAUAAAUAAAGGGCAAUUGGCAGAUUUGAAUUCCAUUCGGAUUGGUCAAAAAUCAUUUUAAAUUGUUUUAUUUAAAAUUAAACACAUAUAGUACUUAAUAAAAAUUAGUCGUACAAUAUACGAUAAACAGAUAUAAUGUAAGGACCUUUAUGAUCUUCACAAAAAAGAUCCAAAGGUUGUGUAGCUGUUUCAAAAGGAUAAUACUCACUUUUGAUUAGUUCAAUGAAAUUUUAAACAUGUUUUAUUGUUUUAAAAAAUAAUAAACAUAUUUAUUAAUGUUUGUUUUACUUUAAAAAAUAAGCAGCACUUGACAACAUUUGAUUGUGCUAAAUAAAAAAUGAGUGACCACUUAGUACUACAGUCUUAUGAUAUUUUUCUUCAUUUGAAAGUGAGAGGUUUUAAGUUCGAAUCUCGUGGAUGACGAAUUUGAUAUCAAAUUAGAUUGCUCACUAUGUGGCUUAGCCGAACUCUCAUUUCCUUUAAUGUAAAAAUAUUGAUGUAUUCAAAAAAAUAAAAAGUGACUAUAGAGGACACUCAAUCUCAGCUGUAUGAUUAAAUCAGACGGUAAGAAAAAUUCUGCAAGCAUACUCGGUUACAUUAAUUGAAGAAAAAAUGGGUAAAUAUUGGGCACCAACGUUAUAAAUACCCUCCACCAUGCACCCAACUCCCUCACACCAUCACAACCCACGUUACAAAUCCUCCUCCUCAUCAUAACCAUUCUGUUUUCCGCAUAAUAUCCAAAAACCUAUCAUGUCUGAAGAGAAACACCACCGCGGUCUCUUCCACCACCACAAGGAUGAAGACAAACCCUCAGACUACCCUCAGUCUGGCUACUCUGAUGAAGGACGUCCCGGCGGCCUCGGUGGUGGUUACGGCGACACCAAUGAUUAUUCUGGUGAAGGACGUACCGGCGGCCUAGGUGGUGGCUAUGGCGACACCAAUGCUUAUUCUGGUGAAGGACGUCCCGGCGGCUAUGGCGGCUAUAACGAGACCACUGCUUACUCUGAGGAAAGAGUUGAAAGACCCGGCGGUGGCCGGUACAGUGAGACUACUGCGGCAUAUGGCAGCACCACCACUCAUGAAUCUGAACUUGAUUACAAGAAGGAGGAGAAGCACCACAAGCAU